rnacentral:lncRNA from 1 species
CGCAGAGUCCAAAUGACCUCCUUGGACGUUUGUGGGCUGCUCUUCCGUCGUCAGGCCACACUUUGUUUGACGGAGAAAGCAAACGCAAGACGUCAGCCCGGAGCUUUGGCGUUGAAGUGAACGAGGUGUCCCGGGAAGUCGAUGGCGGUGGAGCUGCUGGUUUCGCACUUUUGAAGCGAAGGGGAUCGGAGCCUGCCGCCUCGCACUGCCUUUAAACGGCUACGCCUAUAACGACUCUAAGACAAAUGAUAAGCCAAGGACAAACUCAGCAUCCGGAAGACUACAGGACUAUCGUGGGAGAUACGUAAAUGGAGAGGCCGAAGUUGAGCCCGGAGGCGAUGACUUUAGAGGUGCGGGAAGGCGUCGAGGUACCGGUCGUGCGGUGGUCGGGGUGCUGUUGGCCAGUGGAUUGCGGUAAAUGAGAGGCGAUAUCUUCAAACGGGACUUAGUCGAAUGCUAGGAGAAAACAUCAACAGGAAUGGAUGAUAAAACAGGCUGACUCAAAGGCAGCAUUUCCAGUGGAGAAAAAACCGGACUACAAGGUUCCAAAGGCACGGUCUUUGGCAUCUCAACUUGAACGUCCAGGCUUGCCAUCGGGAAGUACGCAAAACUCUUCCGUUGGUGCGGCUUUUGAGGAGUCCAAACAGAGGCUCCAUAAUCUAGAUGCUUUGGAAGAAGAAGGCGUGACGACCUCUCUAGAACUCGAGGAGCUACAAAUUGACGGUCACCGUCGUGAGGGUAAAGCUCCACAGUUUUACAAGGUUUGUGCUUGCUUUUUUUCUUUCUUUAUUUUCAUGAGUUUGUAUCUCUGGUUACAGCCGAAGGAGAACCGUUUCAGGGAGUCCAGACGCGUCAUUCCCCUACGACGAGCUUAUACCAACCGAAGAAGGGGAGGUCCGGAGAAGGAAGUUCUUCUCGAAGCUUGAGUCCCUUUUCGAGAAGAGCUCCCGGGAACACGGCUCUUGUUUCUUCUUGUGAUGUUUCAAGCUCACAUUUAACUUCUGGCAGCAGCUAUCUUCCAGACACGAUCGACAUUACAAAUAACAAUUGAUCUACUACUACUGUCCCUCUAUCCAUAAGUGUUUUCGUUUUCAUUUUAUAUGUUUUUUUUUAAUUUCUUUUUAUUUUUACUCUCUCCUUUCGAUCGUUGGCCUUGGAUUUUUUCCCUUCUCAAAUUUUUUUUUUAUUUUUGCUACGAAAUAAAUUUUCUUCUUCGAUCUUGUAUCUUACUACUAGUAGUGCGCAAAUUCUUGUGUUUGUGUAUUAUUAAAUUUUCUUCGUUUCUAAUGGAUUGCUAGUUGACGAGAAUUGUGUCACAACAUGCCUAGUUUUUCUCGAUUCCGCAAGUCUGGGUUGAAAAUAAGCAAAGGCUGUGAUUGACACUAAUCACAAGAGUUUCCAAUCCUUGGCAGCGAUGCAACUUCGAAGCUGUGCAACCCUUUGAUUGUCUUAUCCAGCUGCCAACUUCAUUGUCCAAAAGUAUGGGGAAUGUGUGGAUGGCUUCCACAAACCAAACCAAUCAGGAUCGAGAGAGAUCAUAUUCUUAAUAUUCCUAUGUUUUCUAUAUUUUACCAUUUAGGUUUUAAAAUACUUAAAACCACGAGAGUAAAGUAAUAUCCCGAGAAUACAAUUUGUAAGAAAAAAAGAAACUGUUUCUUCUUGACGCUGUGAAAUCUCUGUUUUCGUUUUAUGAUGUCCUACUUGUGAUGCAAAAUAGUGUAGCAUUUGCGCAGAUCUUCAAGAACCCAAUCGAUGUCCACUGAAGGAGCAAGGUUUACUAGAGCCCGUAUAUCUUGAGAUCCGGCCGCUCCUCAAGCCAUGGUGGAACUUUCGUACCUUUUGGGCAGUAUACGACUUUGAGCCUGGGAAAUAAGCCAAGGCCGUGAUUGUCUGAACUCAAUUGGGGCCACACUACAUCAUCAUGAUCAGAGAGCACAAGUUCCUCCAAUCCUGGAAGGGAUGCAAUGGAUGAUGGAAUAUUUUCGAUCCUAACCAAGGUUACACCUCUUAGAGCAGUCAUCUGGUCUGUUGGCUCAAAGAAAUCAUUGGGGAGCUGCCUCAUACAGCCCUUCAGCAAAGAUAAUGUGAACCAUUUCACCUUCAGCUGUGAUCUCUCGGUUGGCAUCAAGAGUCUCCUCAUGUAACUUUUUAUAACAACAUCCAGUGUAUCAAGGUCUUUGGGGAGUUGUGUCACAAAGAGAGGCAAAUGCUCCCAUGUAUUAUCAAGAGCCACAACGAAUGUUAAACUCUUCAGAUUUGGAAGACUUGCUGCCAAAUCAUCCUUGAACUCCGACUGUGCAAUGUGCAGAUUUCGAAGCUCCAGACGUUCGAGGCAUGGGAACGAUCCUUCCAGACUGAAGAACUGGAUACCACUGCAGUCUAGGUGAAGUUCUCGUAGCCAUUGAAAGCCCUUUAACGAAGACAGGUCUUUCAUUGUCUCAUUGUUUGUGAUGGUUAAAAAUUGUAGCUGUGGCCAUUCAUGGCUUUCGGCAUUGUUUUCACCGUCUUGUACCCCAUCAAUGGUAAAGUGCUGAAGUUGUUUGGAAUUCUUAAACAUUCGCUUCCAGUCAAGUUUGAUAGUCGAUUUCACGCAAAUGUGACAUCGUCUUAGGUUGACAAGUUGCCACAGGCCGGUGAAAUCGCCAAAGUCCAUGCUCUUUGCACGCAACACCAGUGUCUCAAUGUCCACUAGUGCACCAAGGCUGUGAGGUAUUUUUAUUGUUGCAUUGAGAUGUAGCUCUAAAUGUCUUAGCUUGUGUAGCCUUGAAAUUGCACUCAGAUCCACAGCUAACUCCUUACAGGAUUCAAGCUCCAGUGUUUUUAUUGUUGCAUUGUAGAGUUUUAGCUCUAAAUGUCUUAGCUUGUGUAGGCUUGAAAUUCCACUCAAAUCCAGAGCCAGAGCUAACUUCUUAUAGGAUUCAAGCUCCAGACGUUCAAGGCAUGGGAACGAUCCUUCCAGACUGAAGAACUGGAUACCACUGCAGUCUAGGUGAAGUUCUCGUAGCCAUUGAAAACCCUUUAACGAAGACAGGUCUUUCAUUGUCUCAUUGCUCCUGAUGGUUAAAAAUUGUAGCUGUGGCCAUUCAAGGCUUUCGGCAUUGUUUUCACCGUCUUGUACCCCGUCAAUCGAAAAGUCCUGAAGCUGUUUGGAAUUCUUAAACAUUCGCUUCCAGUCAAGUUUGAUAGUCGAUUGCACACUAAUGUUACAUCGUCUUAGAUUGACAAGUUGCCACGGGCCGGUGAAAUCGGCUAAGUCCAUACUCUUUGCACGCAACACCAGUGUCUCAAUGUCCACUAGUGCACCAAGGCUGUGAGGUAUUUUUAUAGGUGUUGCACCAUAGAGGUCUAGCUUUAAAUGUCUUAGCUUGUGUAGGCUUGAAAUUCCACUCAAAUCCACAGCUAACUCCUCAGAGGAAUGAAGCUCCAGCUCUUCCAAGUUGAAUAAUUGGGGCAGUAAUCCAAAGUUGAGUUUUCUGAUAUGAUUGCAAUUCAAAACCUUCAGUGAUGUCAAGCUGAAGAGCGCAUCUGGCAAUUGAGGCACACCUGAAUAUCGAAGGUCAAGCACUUGAAGGUUUCUCAGCUUGGAUAUGCUCUCUAGAAUAAAACGGACCUGAUCAUAACAUCUAUUCAAGCUCAAUACCUUGACAUUUUCGAAGUGAUCUAUAAUAAGACUGUCAUCCACACCAGAAAUUACUUUACAUCCAUCGAGAAGCAAGACAUCUCGCACAUGAAUGUCAGACAAAAAGCUGCUUGUAACCUUCUUUCCAAUGAAUGAAACUUUAGAACAUGUUGGAGAAAUCCCAGGUGGACAAUCAUAGCCAAACAGGCAUCCCUUCUCGUGCUCUUCCUGGGGUGGGUACUUCCCUUUCAAGAUUCUUAUGCACAGCUUGCGUACCAUAUCGUGCACAGUUACAUGCUUAUACCAUUGAAUCUGAUCCGCGACUCUGAAUCGAGAAUCAGUUGUCUUCACUAGGCAUCUUCGUUCCAGUUCACUAACAAUCUGCAGAGGCGAGAGUUCUGACCCAACCGCUAUCCAACAUUUUCUCAGAUCAUCAAACUCGAUUCGCCGAUCUUCUGGAAACGCAGCCAUAUAGAGAAAGCACUCUUGCAGCUUUUCAUCCUUAUUAGACAGCUCGUCAUAGCUAAACUUCAAGCGCUGGAACAUCUGCUUCUCAACGUCUGGGUCAUUCAACAAAUGCAUCUUCUGAUAGCGUUCUUCCCACACCUGCGGCCCGUCAUGCCUGUACUCAGCCAUGGCACUGCCAAUCACUUCAAGAGCUAAAGGGAGCCCCUCACAUUUGCUAGCUAUUCUCUCGGCAACUUUCACAAUGUCCGGAUCACUAGGUAGUGAAUCAUAAAAGGCAAACUUCCAAAACAUCAUUUUGCUCUCGUCCUCUGAUAGCUCAUGCACAGGAAGUGCCUUUGCACCCAGCAUGCUCAAAAUGCCUUUCUUUCUGGUUGUUACCAGCACCCGGCUGUAAGAGGACGGCCCUGCUAUAAAAUCCAGUCCCUUGGCCUGGCUCAUUUCCCACACAUCAUCCAGUAUCAGCAAGACACAAAUUCCACGAGCAACAUUUUGUGCCAAGUGCUGCACAUGCUCAAGGGUGCCUGCAUUUUGGGCCCUCUCUUUCAUGCCGCCCCAUUCAAGAGCGUCGAGGAGCAGGGCCCUGAGAUCAUCCUCCGAUGCAUCUCUCUUGACAGUGAUCCAUACAAUGUUGUCAUGGAAAUGCUGCCGGACCCUCUGGUCAUUGUGCACGAAGCUUGCAAGGGUGGUCUUGCCACACCCUCCCAUUCCCAGGAGUCCAAACCAUUUCCCCGGGGCUUGUGGAUCCAGGAGGGCAUUCACCACCUCAUCCAGCUGCUCCCCAUGGCGGCCAAACAUGUCGUUGGCCUCGGGAACACCACGCCGUACAUAGUUUACGAGACCUCUGUCUUGUGGACAACUCCGUACGGAAAAGCUGGUGCUCGGCCGUAUCACUCUCAACUCUUCUCGCUCGUACCUUUCAAUGUGCGGGAGGAGAUCGUUCUCGCAAGUGCGUACCAGCUCCGAAAUCGCGCCAGAUCGCUUCUCCCUGCGCGAAAGAUCCAUCUUUUAGCUCCAUUGCUUCAAACAUGAAUUCGAAUAAGCCUUACUGUGAUCCAAGCAGCGCUUGCGCCUUCUUAGUCCAUUCAGUCAGUCCAGUCAGCCACGCCUCAGCCUCACCAGAGUAGCGGAAAUCUGGAUUCCUGUGCUUGGGAGCAUUAAACUUGUCAAGCGUGGCCUGGAUUCUGGAUGCCCUCUUCUUUAGCUCCUCAAUGUGGACAUUCAGCUCAUGCUCGUGACCUUGGAUCUGCGACAGGAGAUCGUCGUAGGCACUUAAGGACUUCGCGAUGUCGUUACUCCGCUUGUACCUAUAGGAAGUGGAGAAGUUCAACCAGCUGCCUGCCAUUUCUACACACACACACACACAAAAGAUAAAAUGCUACUGUACCCACCGCUUUAUGGGGCUCCAGAUCCUGUUGUGGCGUGAUCCCAAGAGUGCUUGUGCCGUGGUGUUCCAUUUCCUGACACGCUCCAAGCAUUCCUCGGCCGCUUGAGAGAACGUGAAGCCAGGAUUCUGCUGCUUGUGAUCACUGAAAGCGUUGAUCUUGUGCCGGAUGUGGGGCGCCUUGUUCUCCAGCGUUUCAAUGUUGGCAUUGCAGUCCCAUAUCUUCUUAGCAGGGCGCAGAGCCAAGCCACACAAGGCGCUUGCCAAGGAGCCCACAACCUCCAUGCCUGUAGACCUACAAGUCAAGGUCGUUUCCCUCUUGCAAUGCCAGCUGUGGCUCUCUAUCUCUCUCUCUCUCUCAUACACAAAAUAGCUGGGAGGCCUUGACAGAUUUUCGAUGGCCUGCACAAACCAAACCAGUUCUCGUGGAACAUCUUGCUGCGAACGUAUGUUGCAAAUCGUAGGAUGCCCCCGAUUCCAUGGGAACAGGUUUAUGGAUGAGGAAAAGAAGCUGUUUGAUUCGAUCGCUUCUCGUGAAAUAUUAUGAUCAAGGGGCUCGACUUCGCAAAGAGGAAAGAUGCUAUCUCUUCUGGCAGCACCUGCUCGAAUAAGGCAUUUGGAAGAAGCAAAAACUCUCCUUUUAAUGCGAUGCCUCGGAGGAAAAACGUGCUUGCAAGAAACACAAUGAUUGUCAACCAUACGCUCUCAAAGAGCCUAUUUGACCAGAGCCAUACAGGAAUCUUGUGUCUUGGGCAGGCAUGCUACAACGCAUCUUUAAAUGAAGGUGGAAGUUGCAACUUCGAUGAUGCCGAACUAAAACUCUCUCUCAUAACUCUGGCUCUCUCUCUCUCUCUCUCUCUCUCUCUCUCUCUUUCUCUCUCAAUAAUAACGUUUUGAGCAGCUGUUCUUCCAUCCAGGCAUUUGCUGUAUUCGUUCAUCUUUGCAUAAACCCCAGCGACCUUCACGACAUAAGAGCUAGAUUGAUUCACGGUGAGCACUGCAACGAUUGCUACCUCGCCAAUCUCAUCGUCCAAAAGUAUGGGGAGCUGUGGGGUGCUCGACGGAUGUUCGCUGGAACAUCUUUCUGGGAAAAAUCGGUUGAGCGGAGAUCCAAGAGGGAUGUGGUCGCAUAGAACUUGAUCCUCGCAGCGUAUGCCUAAAACGCUCAGUCAAAAGAGAUGUUUCUUUAGUUGAUCGAGGAAUGUUUUGAUCAUGGUGGGUUUGUGGUUGCCAGGAAGCAGCACUUGCCGGGACCAGGCAUUGGAAGAUGCAACAGUUUUAGUUGACGGGAUGCCUCAAGAAGAUGUGCGCGCAAGAAAAGCAAUGAUCAUUCUUUGUUUUACGAACAGAAAACCUUGAGCACGCAAAGUACUUGUGUCUUGGGCCUGUUUGAGAGUAUGAGGCAUCGUCUUGUCUCUUGUAGGGCGUUGAUGCAGGCGUUUUGGAAUAGAUGGCUCCUCUGCCGAUCUUUGAUGGGAUCAUGGCGAUCUUGUCACCGAUGUCUUGAAAGAUCUUAGAUUCUAUCCACGAUCGCCCAGUCACCUCCUGGAACGCGAUCAUGGCGAUGGGUGCUGCAUAUCAUUCUAUUCCCACCCGGACGUGAUCUGCAAUUGAUUGGAACUUCCCGCUACAUUUUCCCGCGCUAUCGUCUCUACUUCUCCAUUCUAGGGUUCUUUCUUGGGAGGCGACGUAGGUUUUCUAUUGCCCGCGUGAUCGAGGAGAUGGCGCUGGGGGGCGGCCUUGAUCGGCGUUCUGGAGCUGCACAAGGUAAUGGGGAUUUCGGAGCCUUCUCCGCCGGCAAGCCGCAUUGACAACGAAAGCUUUCGGGCCGUGCGGGAUGUCCUUGGCAGCGAUGUCUGCGACAUGGAUCUCGUCCACGCGCUACACUUGGCGAGGAACGAUUUGCAAGUGGCCGCCCACAUUGUGCUCGACACUCCGGGUUUUACAAAUAGGAAGAGGCUCCAGCUUAAGGCUCCGACGAGCAGUACCAAGGCGAGGAACCCCAGCGUUGGUAAAUCACGACGACAGGGAUCUCUAGAUGUACGCUGACACCAAAGGCCCGUGCGGCAAAAUGUUCCAUCGGCAGUGGAUCGCCAAAACUCCCGCAAAAGCUGAGGCUUCUAGGACAGCAAAAAUUGCCGAGGUGAGCAAUGAUAGUGAGACUUUAGAUGAUUCGGGAGAGCAAUCGAUGGCGGGGAAGAAGAGGCAAAUAAGAUUAAGAGUGAAGGAGGAAACGAUGCCGAGGUGGAAAGAACAACAGUGGUCGAGAGCUGCAUUGAGACUGUCAGGAAACAUGGCGAGGCUGUUUCGUGUUGGCGAGUUCGUGUCCUUCAAUUUUCCCAAGCCUGAAGCCGAAAGUAAGAAGAAGUUCUUUGAGCACAAGAAGGUUCGGCCGAAAGCGAGCUCCGACAUUGUAAGGUUCUCGACAAAAGCUUCAGGAGAGGUACGUUUCACUUGACUUGUUUCUUCGUUUUAAUUCUAACCAUUUGCUCACAGAUAGGACGGCUUCCAGCCGUCUGGGCCAAGUGUUUGAUACCUUUGGUUCACUCAAAUAAAAUAAGCAUACUCGGGAAGUGCAAAAUGGCACCAGAGGCUCUUUCUCUUAUGAGCAGCAUAGUUCUCGAUUUGAGGUAGAGUUUUCUGUGUUUACCAGAGACGUUACGGAUAUGAUGUGCUUGCAGAGUUUAUAUCAACAAGUCGUUUUUUGUGAAAUACAAGGGAACUGUAUCGAUUGAAGAGACAACCUUUCGCCCGCUUCCGUCGUUGAUGGAGCUGCUAAAGAUGACUCCUCAGAAAGGUACAACAUGGUUUGGUUUAGCUGUUCUUAUAGCAUAGUUUUGUUUUGUAGGCGCAGUUUACACCAGAAGAUUUAAAUGUCUACACUCGUCGACGUCCAGAGGUAGUUAUUUCAAAGAGCCAGGCAAUGUGUAGACAUUUUUGUUAAACAGGAAGGGCCACCUUCGAAGCGUUCAAAACCUGAGCAGAAGGAUAACGAAGAUUCUGUUAUGCUCGAUUCGGAGGUUGAUCACGUGGUUGGCACCAGUGACAGUCGCGAACUGAAGGUAUGCAUAUGCUUAUUGUUAUGUUUUCCAUGUUUUAACAUUUUAUACACCAGGAAAUGGAGGAACCUCAAGAUCUAGAAUGCAAGCUGAGGCCUUACCAAAAGCAAGCGUUGUUUUGGAUGUCUCAACUGGAAGAUGGCGUCACUCGGGAGGAUGCUGCUAAAGCGCUUCAUCCUUGCGAGCCUCUGCUUUUUACGUGAAUUCUUUUUCUGGCGAUUUCCGAGCGCACUGCAGGCUUCAAGAGGAGGGGUAUUUUGCUCAUAAAUCUCAUUUGGUAUCUUAUGUUUUGAUCAAAUCAGAUUCUCGCUGAUGCUAUAGGCCUUGGUAAAACGGUCAUGACAAUAUCUCUUUUGCUCUCCAAUCGCCGCAAAGGAUGUAGUACAUCUCAGGUGCAGCCAACACAGGCAAAAACGAAGUCUUUUAAGAGUUUAAAGGAAGGUGGCACUCUUAUAAUUUGUCCCAUGACUUUACUUAGUCAAUGGCGGGUAUGUAUUUUUUCGCUGAUGUCUGUGCAAGUUCUGAAGCCUGUGCUUGCAGUCAGAGCUGGAAGCGCACGUAUCUCCUGGUACUGUCUCUGUUUUUGCUUAUUACGGACCUGAUAGAUCAAGAGAUGCUAAAACACUCUCGAAGUACGAUGUCGUCUUGACUACCUAUGGCGUUGUUCAAUCGGAAUGCAACAAUGUAAGUUAGUAGUUUGAUUGGUAGUUUGAAACAGUUUCACACUCACGGUGUUUAACAGAGCGGAGGCGAAGGACCAAUCCAUAAUGUUCAUUGGUUUAGAGUUGUACUGGACAAAGCUCAUUCUAUCAAGGCAAAUAAGUCUUGUGUUGCUCAGGCUGUUUUCAAGCUUGUUGCCGACCGCAGAUUGUGCCUUACUGGAACUCCUGUGCCAGUAAGAACCUCCUGCAUAUGUUUUGGGUUUAAAUAUCUUUUGUUUUUCAAUGCAGAUAUUGAAUGCCAACUAUCUGAGUCUGGUGAUUUUUAUGAUGCCCUUUACCAGGCAUGAAGAACUUCUCUUUCUUUUUUUUUCUCUUUUUUCUGAACACGUUUUUACUUCUGUGAUCAGGUAAAAUUCGAUCAAAGCCAAGGCCCGGUGUGCUUCCAAGGGAAACAUUCCAUACUUUGAGAUGUCUGCCAAGGAAGACUACAACGUGGAGGCUGCGUUUCAAUGCAUUGCCAAGAAUGCCUUGAGGAGCGAACCCGAGGAAGACUUGUAAGUUUUGCUUGUUUCUUCUUGUGAUGUUUCAAGCUCACAUUUAACUUCUGGCAGCAGCUAUCUUCCAGACACGAUGAAAAUUACAAAUAACAACAGACGGCCAAGAUCGUCUGGCUGCGAGUGUUGAUCUACCACUACUGUCCCUCUAUCAAUAAGUGUUUUUGCUUUCAUUUUAUAUGGUUUAUUUCUUUCUUUUCUUUUUACUCUCUCCUUUCACUCAUUGGCCAUGGAUUUUUUCCCUUCUCUUUUUUUUUUUUUUUUUUUUGCUACGAAAUAAUUUUUUUUCUUGGAUCUUGUAUCUAGUUACUACUAGUAGUGCAAAAAUUCUUGUGUUUGUAUAUUAUUAAAUUUUAUUUGUUUCUAAUGGAUUGCUAGUUGACAAGAAUUGGGUCACCACAUGCCUAGUUUUUCACGAUUCCACAAGUCUGGGUUAAAAAUAAGCGAAGCCUGUGAUUGACACUGCAUUAUAAGAGUUUCCAAUCCUUGGCAGCGAUGCAACUUCGAAGCUGUGCAACCCUUUAAUUAUCUUAUUCAGCCGCCAAUUUCAUUGUCCCAAAGUAUGGGGAAUGUGGCACAAACCAAAGCAAUCAGGAUCGAGAGAGAUCGCUACAUUGAUCUCGAAAAGAGAAGAACUAAAGGUAUGAUGCAUAUUCUUAAUAAUUUUAUGUUUUGCAUGUUUUACCAUUUACUCUAUACACCAGGUUUUAAAAUACUCAAAACCACGAGAGUAAAGUAAUAUCCUGAGAAUACGAUUUGUAAGAAAAUAAAUAAAUGUUUCUUCUCCUAACGCUGCUGACGCUGUGAAAUUUCUGUUUUCGUUUUUUGAUGUUCUGCUUGUGAUGCAAAAUGGUGUAGCAUUUGCGCAGAUCUUUGAGAACCCAAUCGAUGUCCACUGAAGGAGCAAGGUUUACUAGGGCCCAUAUAUCUUGAGAUCUGGCCGCUCCUCAAGCCAUGGUGGAACUUUCGUAUCUUUUUGGCAGCGUAGGACUUUGAGCCUAGGAAAUAAGCCAAGGCCGUGAUUGUCUGAACUCAAUUGUGGCCACACUACAUCAUGACGACCAAGGAGCUCAAGUUCCUCCAAUCCUGGAAGGGAUGAAAUGGAUGAUGGAAUAUUUUCGAUCCUACCCAAGGUUACACCUCUUAGAGCAGUCAUCUGGUCUGUUGGCUCAAAGAAAUCAUUGGGGAGCUGCUUACUAAUAGCCUCCCUUGCAAAUAAUUCGACCUGUUUCACCUUCAGCUGUGAUCUCUCAGUUGGCAUCAAGAGUCUCCUCAUGUAACCUGCUAUACAAACUUGCAGAUCAUCAAGGUCUUUGGGGAGUUGUGUCACAAAGAGAGGCAAAUGCUCCCAUGUAUUAUCAGGAGCCAGAUAGAAUGUUAAACUCUUCAGGUUUGGAAGACUUGCUGCCAAAUCAUCCUUGAACUCCAACUGUGCAAUGUGUAGAUUUCGAAGCUCCAGACGUUCGAGGCAUGGGAACGAUCCAUCCAGACUGAAGAACUGGAUACCACUGCAGUCUAUGUGAAGUUCUCGUAGCCGUUGAAAGCCCUUUAGCCAAGACAGGUCUUUCAUUGUCUCAUUGUUUGUGAUCCUUAAAUAUUGUAGCUGUAGCCAUUCGAGGCUUUCGGCAUUGUUUUCACCGUCUUGUACCCCAUCAAUCGAAAAGUGCUGAAGCUGUUUGGAAUUCUUAAACAUUCGCUUCCAGUCAAGUUUGAUAGUCAAUGCCACCCUAAUGUCACAUCGUCUUAGAUUGACAAGUUGCCACGGGCCGGUGAAAUCGCCAAAGUCCAUGCUCUUUGCCCGCAACUCCAGUGUCUCAAUGUCCUCUAGUGCACCAAGGCUGUGAGGUGUUUUUAUUGUUGCCUUGUGGAGGCCUAGCUCUAAAUGUCUUAGCUUGUGUAGGCUUGAAAUUCCACUCAAAUCCACAGCUAACUCCUCAUAGGAAUCAAGCUCCAGCUCUUCCAAGUUAAAUAAUUGGAGUAGUAAUGCAAAGUUGAAUUUCUUGAUGUCAUUGCAUUUCAAAACCUUCAGUGAUGUCAAGCUGAAGAGCGCAUCUGGCAAUUGAGGCACACCUGAAUAUCGAAGGUCAAGCACUUGAAGGUUUCUCAGCUUGGAUAUGCUCUCUGUAAUAAAACGGACCAAAUUAGAGCAUCUAUUCAAGCUCAAUACCUUGACAUUUUGGAUGUGAUCUAUACUAAGACUGACAUCCACACCAGAAAUUCCAUAACAUCCAUCGAGAAGCAAGACAUCUCGCACAUGAAUGUCAGACAAAAGGCUGCUUGUAACCUUCUUUCCAAUGAAUGAAACUUUAGAAAAUGUUGGAGAAAUCCCAGGUGGACAAUCAUAGCCAAACAGGCAUCCCUUCUCGUGCUCUUCCUGGGGUGGGUACUUCCCUUUCAAGAUUCUUAUGCACAGCUUGCGUACCAUAUCGUGCACAGUUACGGUUCUUCUCAGGGCCCACCAUCGAGAAUCAGUUGUCUUCACUAGGCAUCUUCGUUCCAGUUCACUAACAAUCUGCAGAGGCGAGAGUUCUGACCCAACCGCUAUCCAACAUUUUCUCAGAUUAGCAAACUGGAUUCGCUUAUCUUCUGGAAACGCAGCCACAUAGAGAAAGCACUCUUGCAGCUUUUCAUCCUUAUUAAAGCGUCCCAGCUCGUCAUAGCUAAACUUCAAGCGCUGGAACAUCCGCUUCUCAAUGUCCCCAUCAUUCAACAAAUGCAUCUUCUGAUAGCGUUCUUUCCACACCUGUGGCCCCUCAUUCCUGUAGACAGCCAUGGCACUGCCAAUCACUUCAAGAGCUAAAGGGAGCCCCUCACAUUUGCUAGCUAUUCUCUCGGCAACUUUCACAAUGUCCGGAUCACUAGGUAGCGAAUCAUAAAAGGCAAACUUCCAAAACAUCUUUUUGCUCUCGUCCUCUGAUAGCUCAUGCACAGGAAAUGCCUUUGCACCCAGCAUGCUCAAAAUGCCUUCCUUUCUGGUUGUUACCAGCACCCGGCUGUAAGAGGACGGCCCUGCUAUAAAAUCCAGUCCUUUUGCCCAGCUCGUGUUCCACAUAUCAUCCAGUAUCAACAAGACAUGGUUGCCACGAGCAACAUUUUGUGCCAUCUGUUGCACAUGCUCAAUGGUGCCUGCAUUUUGGGCCCUCUCCUUCAUGUCGCCCCAUUCAAGAGCGUUGAGGAGCUGGGCCCUGAGAUCAUCCUCCGAUGCAUCUUUCUUGACAGUAAUCCACACAAUGUUGUCAUGGAAAUGCUGCCGGACCCUCUCGUCAUUGUGCACCCAGCUUGCAAGGGUGGUCUUGCCACACCCUCCCAUUCCCAGGAGUCCAAACCAUUUCCCCGGGGCUUGUGGAUCCAGGAGGGCAUUCACCACCUCAUCCAGCUGCUCCCCAUGGCGGCCAAACAUGUCGUUGGGAACACCACGCCGUACAUACUUUACGAGACCUCUGUCUUGUGGACAACUCCGUACGGAAAAGCUGGUGCUCGGCUGUAUCACUUUCAACUCUUCUCGCUCGUAACUUUCAAUGUGCGGGAGGAGAUCGCCCUCGCAAGUGCGUACCAGCUCCGAAAUCGCGCCAGAUCGCUUCUCCCUGCGCGAAAGAUCCAUCUUUUAGCUCCAUUGCUUCAAACAUGAAUUCGAAUAAGCCUUACUGUGAUCCAAGCAGCGCUUGCGCCUUCUCAGUCCAUUCAGUCAGUUCAGUCAGCCACGCCUCAGCCUCACCAGAGUAGCGGAAAUCUGGAUUCCUGUGCUUGGGAGCAUUAAACUUGUCAAGCGUGGCCUGGAUUCUGGAUGACCUCUUCUUUAGCUCCUCAAUGUGGACAUUCAGCUCAUGCUCGUGACCCUGGAUCUGCGACAGGAGAUCGCCGUAGGCACUUAAGGACUUCGCGAUCUCGUUACUCCGCUUGUACCUAUAGGAAGUGGAGAAGUUCAACCAGCUGCCUGCCAUUUCUACACACACACACACACACACACACACAAACGAUAAAAUGCUACUGUACCGACCGCUUUAUGGGGCUCCAGAUCCUGUUAUGGCGUGAUCCCAAGAGUGCUUGUGCCUUGGUGUUCCAUUCCCUGACACGCUCCAAGCAUUCCUCGGCCGCUUCAGAGAACAUAAAGCCAGGUCCAUUUCGCUCCUUGUGGCGACCGAAAGCGUUGAUCUUGUCCCGGAUGUGGGGCGCCUUGUUCUCCAGCGUUUCAAUGUUGGCAUUGCAGUCCCAUAUCUUCUUAGCAGGGCCCAGAGCCAAGCCACACAAGGCGCUUGCCAAGGAGCCCACAACCUCCAUGCCUGUAGACCUACAAGUAAACGUCGUCUCCCAGAACUCUUGGCCUUGGUACCCUCUCUUAAAAUGAACAGUAAUUUUCAGAGAGGUAUAAGCUGUUACAAGUGACUUCAGUUUAAUUGGAGUUGAUUGCUUGCAGUAGAGCGAGUACUAAAGGGCCUCAUCCCUCUUGCAAUGCCAGCUGUGGCUCUCUCUCUCUCUCUCUCUCUCUCUCAUCGCUCCGACAGGCAUGCUCCGACAUUGUAAGUUUCUCCAGGAGAGGUAACUUUUGUCGCUUUGUUUUAGUUGCACACAGAUAGGACGCCUUCCAGCUGACUGGGCCACGUGUUUGAUUGCUUUGGGUCAAGAAAACGUACUCUGGGUCUGGGAGGUGCAAAAUGGCACCAGAGGCUUGCAGAGUUUGCAUUGAUAAACUCGUAUUGACAUCGAUUGAAGAGACAACGAUUCUGUCGUUGAUAGAGCUUCUAAAGGUAACUCUUCCCAAAAAGUUAAAACACGGUUGACUUGGUUGUUCUCAUAGCAUCAUUUUGUUUUGUAGACACACCAAAAGACUUAAAUGUCUAUACUCGUCGACCACCAGAGGUAGUAGCAAGCCAACGUGUGAUACAAUCUGUGACAUUUUCUUGAAAUAGAGAAUGCCACCUUCAAAGUGUUCAAAAUUUGAACAGAAGCUUUUGCUUAUACCUUUGAGGUUAAUCACAGAUCACAGUUGCAAAUUACAAACUGAAGGUACACAUAUGCUUAUUGCUAUAGUUUCCAUACAGCAGGAACCUAAAGGUCUACCAAAGGCAACUUAACUAAAAGAUCGCAUCAACUUGGGAAGACACUAUUAUAAGUUCUUGCAGUUCACAACAUUCUCCUAAUUAUGGUUUUUUUAAGACAUAGUUUUUUUAUGUUUGAUAUAGCUUUCAAUGUAGGGAAUAUGGUUUAGCAACCUGAUUCUUAUCAUCCCAUUGUUCACUAUUUUUGAGACUAGAAAUGUAUAUGGUUUAUUUUGUAAUGGAAAAUAAUAUACUUUUGAACUAGGAUAGUUUAUAUGUUUUAAUAUAGUUAACACUCUGGAACUUGAUUUAUAAUAUUAAGGACAUCAAAAAUUAUUGGUUUGCUUAAGCAAACCUAUAGGGGGACUGAGAUGGUAGUGAAUAUACCUAGAAUAUGCUUGGAUAUUCUGGGAUAUUCUACCAUCUAACGGUUGGUAUUCAUUUAGAUUAAUCUGGUAUUUAUAAUUUAUAAACAUGUUUAUAAUUUAUAAACUUUUCUAAACCCUUUCUAGUAUAUUCUUUUUUAUUCUAUUAUCUAAUGGUUGAUAUGCAAUAAGAUUAAUCUUGUGUUUAUAAAUUACUAACAUGCUUAUGAUUAUAAACUUUAUUUGAUCAAUUAGAUUAAUAAGUAAUAAUAAAACUACCAUUAAGCAAACCAAGUGUUGCUACAUGCAAUGCGUAGCAAUUUAUUUUAAAAUUGGAGUAAAGUUUGGUUUUCCUUAUGGAUGACAUUGUAGUUGAUGAUUUCAUGAACAAUAGACUAAUGAGAAUGGGAAGUGUGUUAUCUUCCUUCUAAAACCCAUUUUCAACUACAUAUAAAAGACGUAUAUUCAUGUAAUUUAUCUGUGACAAUAUUCUUUUGAUAAGAGCAUAGGUUAUGCUGUUUAACAAAUGUAUGAUGUUUUCAGCUGGAACUAAAUUCCCACACUUUAGUAAGAAAAAAAAAAAAAAAUUUAUUUUCAUUUGCUGCUAAAUGUCCUCUCCCAAUUCUAUAUGAAUUGGGAUUGUUGGCUACAACUUCCAUUUAUAUGACAUAUAAAUGUUCUAUUGCAAACACUUUUACCACAUAUUUAAUUCUUCCUUGGAUCCUCAUAAUAUAACUAAUUGCCACUUCUAUAAGAUUGUCCUUAUUGUUACUUCUAUAGGACUGUUUUUAUUGUGGGCACUUCUUGGAAAUUUGUGAUAAACUACAUCUAAAACUAAAUAAAAGUAGUUCCAAACAUUGUUAUAAUCUGGCACAAUGCAAACUUCUCUAACUAGAGCAUCCAUUAGUAAGAUGCAAGUAUGAUUAAACUGUGUGGUGAUAUUUCAUUAGAGUUCUUUUUGGUCCACUUGCAUAAUAACUAAGAAAAAAUUAUUAGUUUCUACCAAAGGAAUAGACAAAUAAGCAAUUUUUCACUAGUAGUAUUUAGCAUAGAUAAAGACUUCAAUUGCAUCCCUAAUCCCAACUAAGAAUAUCUUUAUAAUUUAAGUAAAACAUAUAUCACUUGGUAAACCAUACAAUUAUAAGCAUGAAAUAUAAUAUGAUUAUUACAACCUAGAUUGUAUGGAUCCAUCAUAGUUGUGUUUUGCUUUUGCAUUAUAGCCUUAGCAUGUAUAACCACAAUUUUUAGCUCUUCUUCCUCCAAGACAUUUUCUUCAACCAAAUUAUUAUUAGAUAAACUAUUCAUCAUUACUUCUAACAUUACUAGUGAUAAAUAUAAUAUUCUCUUGCAAAUCAUAUCCAAACCUAUUUAUUGGAUUAUAUGGUUCUAACUUCCCCUCAUAUCCACUCUAUCAUUUUCUAUCGUGCUACCUUAUAUAUUUUUAAUGAGAAUAAAUGUUUGCCUAUACCUAUAAAAAGUAGAUUUGGUGAAAAAAUAACCUUUUGUUCCCCUUGUUGCAACAUAUGAUAAACAAUGACAAUUUUUCUUUUUCUUUUUUGCUUUGGUUUGGUAUGAACUAUUAAGAUGUGCUAUCUUCUGGCCAAUCCAAUCCUCACAUAAGUAUUGCAACCAAUAUUACAAAGUAAACACAUUCUUGUAAAACUUGUGAAACUUAAAAAUACAUGAUUAUCACAUGUCUCUUAGUGUUUUUAAUGUUGUCAGCCUUGUGGUUUUUUUGCCACUUUCUUUCAAAAACAUAAUAUUGUUACAAAUAUUAUUUUCAAGGUAUUUUUCAAAUCUUUAUUUAGCAAAUUUAUGAUGGAGGUAGAGGAGAUAGAUUGCCUGAUCUGUGAUUCUUUUUAGGAUUGAGUUCAUAUAUAGUGUUGGAUAAACAUAGAAUACAAAAAGGUUGAAACUUUUUACUUACUUUUAUUGAAAAAAGUCUCUUUAUUUUAGUAUCAUGCUUACUUUAACAAAAAUCUUUGGCCCUUUGAGCUAAGUAAAGACCACUUACAUUUCUCUAAAACUAUGAAGGUCUAUUGAAGAUUUGGCUUAUAUCCUAGUGCAUCUAGUGUGCUAACCAUAUUUUUAAAUGAUUUUUUAUUUGGUUUUGGAAAUCUUUUAUCUACAAUUCUCAUAUGCACUAUUGUUUCUUGUUGUUAGAUUUUACUAUUGCAUUCACAAUAACGUUCAUAUGUCUUCAAUUGAUUUUGACAUAAUGCAAGCUAUAUAACUAUAUUCAAGGAUGCCCCAUGACUUGCAAAUGAUUUUGGACUUAAAAAAUAAUUGAGGUUGGGAUCAGUGGCAUGGAUGGCAUGCUACUGUUUUACAUUAUAGUAAGGUCCACCCACCAUAGUGUUAUUUAGCCUACAAAACAGAUAAAACUGAUAAAGUGAUGUUUUUAAUUAUACAUUUUUUAAGAUAGUUAUGUGAUUAGGGUAUAUGUUAUGACUUGACGUUUGAAAGAAAUUCUAUACCCCAAAAGUAAUUGAAAAGAAAAAAUGAUUCAAUGAUGCAACUAUGGAGAUAGAAAGUCUCUCUAGACCAUAAUAUUAGAUAUGGUAACAAAUAAAUUUGAUCUUAGACAAAGUGAAAAAAAAAAAUUUAAUGCACAUAAUUAUGAGAGCAUAAAAUAUUGAGUGAAGAUUUAACUAAAAUUAAUAUAGAUUUGUUAAUCAAUUUGUAUAUAUUUUUUACAUUUAAACUUCCCACAUGUGAACUAAGGUUUAGUGGGCAGUGAAAUUGUAGAAGUGCUAAGUUUUUUUAUCUGCCCAUCGUUUUGGUUGAAUUGGCAAAUUGAGAUAUGGUAAGCAAUAAGUGAAAAUGCAUGAAAUGAAUCCCUUUUUUGUUUCCUCAAAUGUUAAUAACCCAAGCAAAAUUGAAUGGACUAUGUAGAAAAGCAUUGUGUAAAUAUUAGCUGGAGUGUUGCCAAACUUCCUCAACAAGAUUCAGAGUAAUAGAUUUUUUGAAAAGGACCAUUUCGAUCUCAAUAUUCUAACAUGGAUGAACAUUGGAGUAAAAACAUGGGAUGCAAUCCAAUUGAUAAAGACAUUCAAGAAUCUCAAUAAUUCAUCAGAGUAGGUAUGCGAUGAAAAGUAGGCCCAAAAUGAAAGCCCUUCACAAAAACAAUAGUGUCAGCUAACACCCACUUAGGAACAAAACACUCUAAAUCAAGGAUUAUGAGAGUGGCAACCAAGGUCUUUUUUUUUAACACCAAUUUUUAAUGUCAAGAAGUACUCUAAGCACUUAUUAAAUCUCCCAUUAACUUUACUUAGCAAGAAUCUACUUUAUAAGUUAUUAUAGAUCUUUCUCAACUACAAAAGAAGAUACUUCAAAUGUGAAAGACAUGUAGAGUAGAGAAUUAAGCUAAUUGAGCGAGCUUACGAGCGUAAAUUGGACAACCAUUCCUUUUGUGUUUUUGAGCUUAAGAUAGAAGAGACCUUCAUUAGAUUGUAACAUUGAUUUAAGAAAGUAGUGGUUGCUAAGAUGGAACAAAUAAAGGAAUUCAUAAAGUACUAGUAUGACUAAAGUGUUGUGGAACUUCUUGCAUUCAAGUCGAAUAUGAGAUUAAUAUUGAUAGAUCUUGAGUUUUUGAAUGUGCAAACCACAUUAGUUUUAAUGCAAAAAACUUCAUAGUUUUCAAUAUAGCUUUUGCAAGAUCUUCAAAUAGCAAAGAUCAGAAUUUUAGAUAAAUGGCAAUGAGUUAAAACUAUAAUAGUUGAGAAAGUUUAUAGUGGCACACCCAUUCGAAAGUACAGAGUCCUACAAAUGAGGACAAUUUCACUCAUAAAUGAGGAUUUAAUAGCCAAUAUAAAGAUCUUUUCGCAUGUGAGGUAAAUCUAUUUUAAAAUGGCAUUCUAAAAUUAUACUCAACAUUGAAGAAAGAGGUAUGCAUUCAUUUUAAAAUUUAAGCUAAACAUUAUAGGAAAUGUAUUAAUCCAAGUGCAUAAGGGCCAUUGUUAUUGACAAGGACAAUAAGAAAACUAUUAAAGGGGUAUUUUUAAAAAAAUAAUUUUAUAGUUUUUAAUUUUUGUUUGUGUAGUUUCAAAUUAAAUCAUAUGGCAAUGGACGUGAGGAGCAACCUUUAUACCCUAAUAGAUAGGAUUAAUAAAGAAAUAGAGUGUGAAAUUAUAAUUAAAGAAGAAAAAAAUAAUAGUUUAAUUGUAUAUAUGGAUUAUUUAUUUUUUGGCUCUAUUUAGAAAUAGAGAAACACUGAAAGUGCUUCCUUAAGCAAUUUUUUAUUAAAAUAUAAAUAAUAUUAUAAAAAAUUCUUCACUUGAAAAGAAAGAUGUUAACAAAAUAGAAGAUUUGGCAAACAACACAUAAAGAAAAGAGGUUUAUUCCUUUUUGGCUUGUAUAUAUUAAUUGUAACUAAUUUGUAUAAUUUUAUAAUUUGCAUCCAUAAUGGUAGGAGCCCAACCAAUACCCACAAAUAUUCAAGUGUGUUGAUUAUUAGGCUUGUAUAUAUUAUAUAAUAUAACUUUAUUUACUUUUCUAUGUAACAUUAAUAAUAUUGCAAAACAAUGAAAGAGUCCAGCUAAAUGAUGAGACUACUCUUGCUGUGUAUUAGGCAAAAAAGGUGGAAGACAUUGUUAGGGCAAUAACAAAUCAAUGUAAACUCAAGUAACAAUCAACAGAAUAGAAUGAAUGUGGUAAGACCAAUAAACACUUAUUCAUGCUAACUAUCACAUCAGCUAAUCUAAAUAGAUUCCAGUCAACAAUACCAAGGAACCAGAGUUGCUCAAGUGAGCGUUAGCAACAUCCUACUAAUAUCUCAAACCCAAGAGACCAAUCCAGAGCAAACCACAAAGAACAUGUGAUAUUGCGAAAAGCUAGAAGCUAUCAAAGAGAAUAACUAACUAUCACGAAAGAUCAUCAAUCAUCCCAUCAAUAAAGAAAUGCAUAAUCAUCGUCUAAGAAAGAAUCCACCAUCUCAAAGAGCAGCGAAUCAUUCUAUAUUAAUAAUAACCAAGCAAAACUUUUGACAAAGAUAAUCAACUAUCUUAGAUGAUAGUCAAUCAUCAUCAAUGAUUGCCAUAUGCAAAUACUAACUUCAAUAUCGAAGCUAACAAGCUAAAAUGCCUUCCCCAACAACUCCCAAUAAAUGGAACAAUGAACACAAAACUCAAAGAACUAAAAGCUCAAAGAAGUCUAUAACCAAGUCUUGACCAACAAUGAUCACAAGUCUCGCAUGAAUUAACUUCAAUGUUAAAGAUGAAAACCAUGGUACAACCUACAAUAUCCUCCUCAACACAUCCAUAAGCUAAACUUCAUAAUACUAAGCUAAUGAAGAGCAUGUCUGCAUCAAUUCAAAAGCUAAACAUAACGAAGUUAUGCUCGACAAGUGAUCAUCAAACGAUCCUUCAUGAAUCCAUCUAUAGCAAGACGUAACUCACUUCAUAACAAACACAAGAAAAAACUAUCAAUGAUCAAUAUAUUCCAACUCAAACCCAAUAAAGAUUCAAAUAUUCUAAUAUCGAUCACUAACUCUUCCUCUCAUAAAGUUAGCAUCAUCCACGACGAAAUCACUUUUCAAGGAAAAGCCAAAGCUCAACCUUUACGAAUUCAUCUUAUCUAAAACUCAACUAACUCAAACUUGCCACUCCGCUCGUUUGAACGUCAAUACAGUUGCUAACUAACAAAUACACAAAUGUUAAUAACACAAAGCUACAACCGAAUCAUCAACACUAUUUGCAUCAAGACUAAUGAAACUCAAUGUCAAUCAUACGGAUAGACACUUCAUCUCACUCGAAUCUCAACAUUAACAAUGUCAACAACAAAGCAUCACUUUAGUGCCAUCAACACCAUAACAAAGCUAGAAGAAAGCACGAGUGAAUCAUCACUCAAAACUCCCUAAUAACUAAGCUGAAUAAGGUCGAAGAUACUUUACUUAGUAUCUAAGAUUAAUCCUUCAGCAAAACUUAGUUAUAGAUAACACUUUAUCAAGGAGUGAUUCACCAUAUCCAAAACUCAAUGAAAUCUAACACCACAAACUAAAUGCAACCAAAUGAUAUCGAUAGAGGUAGAGUCGAUAUGCCAAUAUGGAAAACCCAUGUAAGUCUAACGACACCAUCUUCCGCAACACCAUCCGGUAAAGCAAGCCUAUCACUGCUAAAUCUUCAUUGAGCGAAGCAAGCAUCAUAAGUCUUCGACAAAGUCUAUCAGCAAUCACUAGUUGCAAAGCAACCAAUAAUCACUUUUCAACUUGCCUUCACAAAACCUAACACUAAACUCAUGCCAUCAAGCCAAAUACUUGUCCAGCAUGAACCUAAUACCUCAUGUAUGAGAUAAAAGUUCAUAGACAAGCAUAAACCAAUGACCACUCGAAUUCAACUCAACCGCGAUAAGCUCACAAAUGCAUUUAGCCAACAGCUCUGAGCAUGCUUUGAAGAAGCUAGCUAUGCAUGAUUAACACUCAGCCGAAACUAAAGUGAAAACCAUGAGAUAGACUCAUAUUGGUAUACAACCUCCUCAUAGACAAAACUAUAGUAUGGGUAUUAACAUCUCAAACUCAAAUAACUAAGUUGGACAUCACCAUCCUCAGCCAAGGUGCAGGGCUACCAAGACCAAAUCAAGAUUAAUGAGAGCUCACUACUCUCAUAGAGUUUAACGAAAUGCAAGGUGCAACUUGCCACCAAGCACAAUGCUACAGAAGAAAGGCAUAAGGGUCACCUUUCUUAGAAAAAUGCAAUAGCUACUUUUCUACACUAAUUUUAGACUCUAUCCAACUCAAUUGCUUUAGCCUCAAGGUUAGCAUCCCUUUCGGGUCGCAUCAUACAAACUUUUUACUAAGGUUUAAGCUAACCGAAGUCAACUCCAACCCUUUCACUAGUUUGUAUUAGCUUACGAAAACGGAAUGAUUUUCAGACAAAGUGAUCAACAAAUCAACCAUUAGAAGAGCCUAAGAAAAUUUGUGGAAAAUUUCCAUCCUAGAGAAAGAAUGACUCUCAGUCCAGGAAUGCAAAAUUUUCAAAACUCAACCAACUUCCUCCUACCAACAAUUUCACAUAGGUUCACCUCAACACAAAUUCUCAUGACCCAUAGUAUGCUUAAAUCUCGAACAUCUUUUUGCCUAUACUUCCGACAUUCAAUCCCGACAUCCGCAAAAUGCAAAGUGAACAUCCAAGGCUUGAACACAAAGACCAUAUCUUCGGAUAUUCUUAUUGCACUAACAUCUUCUUCAACCAUCUUCAAGAUCCAAUGUGAAGCCAAAACACUAACAAGAAAAAUGACAUGGAGAAUCAAGCUCUAAGGAAAAUUCCUCAUCACUCAAAUUAACAAUGCCACUUCCAUUACCACAAAUGCUAGUGAUGUUAAUGCCUCAACUACACAUUUUCUCCAUCCAAUAAUCUACUCUAAGUGCUAACGGAUCAACCGACAAGUUAUAGCAAGAGAAUGCUAUAACCUUUUCCAACACCGCAUGGACAAACUCUCAUGGAAACAAGGUACCAACUUAGGCUUAGCAUCAUAGACCACUAUCGAGAAUCUAGUUAAAGCUACUACAAUGCUACUUUAUGCAAGUAGACUAGCCUCACCAUCAACCACUUUGGGGUGGAUCAUCGUCUAACCAAGCAACUUCGUAAACACAUUACUUAUUAUCACAUAGAUAUGAUAUAAGUAUCACAAUGACUUGAUCAUCAAUUGAGCAAUACCAUAAGCAAUGCACAUAUCACUACUACAAAGGUUUAUGUGAGUAUCAAGUGUCAACUCGACUCGACAAAAUGCAAUAUAAAUGCCACACUCCACCGAUAGAGACUUACAACACCCAACACCACUAACUUUUGUUCAUAACAUAGACAAGCUUAUGCCAUUCUCUUUCCAACCAAACUCAAAACUAAUCCAACACCAAGCUACUCAAGGAGCAAUAAUAAGUUUCCCCGGAAAAGAAUUGAGCAUUGCAACAUAAGUCUUUCAAUAGCAAGCCUAGACAAAAUGGUUUAGCGCUUCACUGCUAUCCAUCCCACAACUCACCAUUGUAAGACCAUCAUCUUCAACAUGCAUCAAGGUAGGGACUCUUGAUUGCAUAAUAUGAACACAAGUAAUGAAUUACACUUCAUUGCAAAUCAUUUCUCCAAGAGAAGAUGUUUUAUGUGUUUGAUCCUUCGUUCUUGAUGACUCUCCUUUCGGCCUCAUCUUUGACUAAACCUCAAGCUUUGCUUUCGCACUGCCUUUAGUCCAAUCCAAGAAAAGUUUAUGAGAGAGCACGGCAAUGACUACUUGAACCAAUAGACUAAUCCCUACAAUCUUGAUUGAUUCACUUAUAGUCUUGCCUAGGAAGGAUCUACUAGUGCCGUGCUAAACAGCUACGGACCAGCCUUUUUGCCACUCAUAGCAAACCCAAGGAUAGGUUUACUUUCACCCAUGGUACAUGGAACAACUCACGGAACCAUUAGAAUAACUCAUGGAACCACCGAUAGGCUAACAUUAAUCUUGCCAACUCAAAGUGUAAUAUUGAGUUGCUAAUGUGCUUCACUCAUAAGCCCAAGCGUAAACUCGUGCAAAUGGAACAUCUCAAAUCCCUCUUAUGAGCCCAAGAGCAAGCUCACAUUAUCACGGUACAAAAAGGUAACAAAAACCAUACCCAAGGAACAAUCGCAAAGCCUUGCACCCAAACAUGUACCCACUCGGAUCAUCGUUUUCAUCUCUGCAUAUGCAAUGAGACUAGUUGCCCAAUCUCAUUGAAUAGUACUUGCUAAGACUCAUCCUCUGAUACUAAAUGUAGCGCACGUGGUUUUGACCCUUUAUCCUAUGGUGAUUUACCAUAGGAUAACACCACGAAGCGGAACCUCAACCCUCUUUGUGCCACGUGAUAGAUGCCACAUGUCACAUGCCACGUGUCCAAAGGAAUGUGGUGUGGAACCCGAGGUUCAGGGCCUUGAGCCACUAAACGAAGGAACGGUGCCAAACUCCCAAGCAUGGAUCCAAGGAGUGAUAGAACCGAACCACGGAGCAACUCCCGAGCAUACAGCCCAAGGAGUGAAGGGACAGGAGCCCAGAGCGACUUGGAAUAGUCCUGGAGCAACCAGCAUCCCAAUGCCAGGACCAACACGCAAAACGGAGCCAAACAGAGUUUGGCACUAUUUCGGCAUACUGGUGGCCUAACGCGAGGAUAUGGUUACUCCACCAGCUAGCAUGGAAUGGAACUUGGGCUUAGACCCAAGCCGGACACAGAACAAAGACAGGCAUGCAAACAUGAGCUAGACUAUGCCUCAGUUGGUCAGCCAUGCCUGACCUACCCACUAUCCCUACUGUACAUUUGGAACCCCUCAUAGCCCCCCCUCCCCUUGAGGAACACACGCUUUGGGCUUUCACCCCAAGCCUCCCUUAGUAUCAAGAGUUAGUUUCUGGGACAAGCUCAAAACUUAUUAAAUAUGGAAUGGCAUUAGAUUGCGAAUUUGGACACAGGAUGAACACUAUUGUGUUCAAGCCAAUCUCUACAUUCUGUAAAUAUGCCAAAUGAGCAAAUCUAGACACUUUCCAUAAAUAGCAUUUGGGACCGAAAUGAGACUAACACAAGGGGCAUGAUAGCGAGGGUGUUUGGCAAACAUGGUAAGCUAUCAUUCAACGAUAUUGAGGGACCAAUCUCAAUACGUUAGGGUUCUUGUUAAGCUAGUGCAAGAUAGAGCAAAAGAGAACUAAAAAGCUAGGCCAAGUAUGCUUGGCUAAAUAAACACUUAGGCUUAUGCUCAUCUAGCUAAGUAAAGAUGCAAAGUCUAAUUUAUUAACAUUUGAACAAAAGGGGCUGAUAAAGGGUCUAGCAAUACCGACCUCCUGCCAUCGUGGCAGUCAGGAAAGAGUGUCCGUAAGGACUAGCCGAUAGGUAAUUUUCGAUACCUGAAGUCACAUUCGCAACAACAUUAUUGAGCAGAAUAUAAAAUUUGGACAGUUGAUUAUAUUUAAAGACGUGUGGUCCAUAAAUACUUAAACUACACCACUAUAACAUUAAAAAAUUAAAAUAUAACUAAAACCAUAUCUAUAAAUAUGGUUGUAUAUAUAAAAAUUUAUAUGGAACACUAUAUCUGAAUUGUGCUUAAAAUUAUGUGAACAAAAUUGGUAAACAUCAGUUUCAAAACUAUAUAGGUAUUGGUAAAUUAUAUAGAAAGAUAUAUGUACAUUUAUUCUCAAAAUAUAACUCAAUCAUACUCAAAACUAUACAAGAAACCAUUCCUUAUGAAAACUAGUUAUGAAACCAUUAAAGUCACAUAUGGUUUAACCAUAGGCAUAACCAUCUUGUUUUGGUACUAGUUAUAGUAAAAAAACCAUGUUGAUGAGCGUGUUGUGGUUGGUGCUGGGCAACAGUAUGCGGCAUGGCCUCUGGCAGCCAGAUGUCUUUCCCAUGGAGAUGAAGGCCAAGGUGUUGGAACCUUUGGUGGAUCAAAGCUGGAAAAAUCAAGGUACUUAAUGAUGGAGAAGAAAAUUUGUGCACCUUGACUUGAAUCAUGAUUUACUCCACAAGCUGCUGUGACAGCCAUCAAGGCAAUUUUGACACUAAAUCAUCUUUGCGACUGGCAAGAGCAGCGUUCUAGGAGCACUGGCUCAAGGUGCUAUCUUAAAUAUCCUUGCAAAAUAUUUCCACUGUGCAGAACACACAAUACCCAUUCCUCAUUGAAAUGACAUCAUUUGCUCUCACUCACUUGUUUUCUUUUGCAUCUCCGCUCAGUGAGCUGCUGAGCUUCUUUAGAUUAUCAUUUGGAGGAAGUAGGGAAUUCACCGCAUGGUGAGUUUUGGAGUUGAAGUGUUGUUGGGAUGUUAAGUAUGAAGCUCAAAUUGCAUAUGCAUUGUAUUUUUCUGGUAUGUUGUUGUGGUAUUUUUUUUCCCAAUAUUUCUGUGGUACAAUGUGGCUUGGUUUUUAAGGAGUCAUCGCAUUUCCUCAUCCAUUUCUCGUCACAGGGUCUUUUAGUGGUAAUAAAUUCCCGCUCGCAGAUAAUAUAAGCAAGGAACCAGUGGUUUCCAGAAGCCGAGUUUAUUUGUCCCCAGUUUUUAAGUUGGAAAGUUGCGAGAGGGAGACUGCACAGGUGAUGGAAUUCUGCUGCUGUGCUCACCAGCAAAACUUGAGCACCCGAGUUGGAUUGACUGGGAAUAAGAAACUGGGAGGCUGUAUCAAAUGUCAUCCUAGCGUAUGCCGAAAACACUUAAGCAAAGAAGUUGUUUCUUUUGAUGAUCUAUCCAGAGAGAUUGCUUCUCGUGGAACAUUUUGAUCAAGAGGUUUGUGGAUGCCGGGAAGCAGCACUUGCCCUGGCAUGGCAUUUGGAAGAAGCAAAGGGUUUCGUUUGAUGCAAUGCCUCAAUAAGACGUGCUCGCAAGAAACACAAUGGUCACUCUAUUUUAUACAAACAGACAACCUUGAACACACAAAGUACAGGUUGUCUCUUUUUGCAAAGUUGAAAGGUGUUCUCCCAGAAAAAAGCACAAUAUUAACUCUUGGCCUUGUAGAUCGGAAUCAUACUGUUCUUCACUUUUUUCAACUCUCUCUGUCUCUCUCUCUCUCUCUCACACACACACACACUAAUACCGUUUUGAGCAGCUGUUCUUCCAUCCAGGCAUUUGCUGUAUUGGUUCAAUUUUGCUUAAACACCAGCGACCUUCACGACAUAAGAGCUAGAUUGAUUCACAGUGAGCACCACAAUGAUCGCUACCUCGCCAAUCUCAUCCUCCAAAAGUAUGGGGAGCUGUGGGGUGCUCGACGGAUCUUCGCUGGCUCUUGUGGAACAUCUUGCUGGGAAAAAUCGGUUGAGCGGAGAUCCAAGAGGGAUGUGGUCGCAUGGAACAUGAUCCUCGCAGCGUAUGCCUAAAACGCUUAGUCAAAACAGAUGUUUCUUAGAUGAUCGAGGAAUGUUUUGAUCAAGGUGGGUUUGUGAAUGCCAUGCGAGAAAGCAGCAGUUGCCGGGACAAAAGAUGCAAAAGUUUUAAUUGACGGGAUGCCUCAACAAAAUGUGCUCGCAAGAAAAACAAUGAUCAUUCCUUGUUUUACGAACAUUUUCCCGCCCUAUCGUCUUUACUUCUCCAUUCUAGGGUUCUUUCUUGGAGAGGACGUAGGUUUUCUAUUGCCCGCGUGAUCGAGGAGACGGCGCUGGGAGGCGGCCUUGAUCGGCAUGCUGGAGCUGAACAAGGUAAUGGGAAUUUCUGAGCCUUGCCGCAUUGACAACGAAAGCUUUCGGGCCGUCCUUGGCAGCGAUGUCUGCGACAUGGAUCUCGUCCACGCGCUACACUUGGCGAGGAACGAUUUGCAAGUGGCCGCCCACAUUGUGCUCGACACUCCGGGUUUUAGAAAUAGGAAGAGGCUCCAGCUUAAGGCUCCGACCCCAGCGUUGGUAAAUCGUCGACGACAGGAGUUCUAGAUCUACGGUGACAACAAAGGCCCCUGCGGCAAAAUGUUCCAUCGGCAGUGGAUCGCCAAAAACUCCUGCAAAAGCUGAGGCUUCUAGGACAGCAAAAAUUGCCGAGGUGAGCAAUGAUAGUGGAGCAGAGGAUUUAGAUGAUUCGGGUGUAGAAAGUGGAGCAAUCGAUGGUGGGGAAGAAGAGGUAAACAAGAUUAAGACUGGAGGAGGAAACGAUGCCGAGGUGGAAAGAACAACAGUGGUGGAGAGCUCCAUUGAGACUGUCAGGAAACAUGGCGAGGCUGUUUCUAGCGCCUUAGCUGGACUUUCAAUCAGAGGUAGUGCCUUGACCCACGGUAAUCCCGUUAAGAUGGAAGCUGGUUGUGGUUCCGUGAAAGCUGAAGCUUCGGUUUCGAUCGCAGCUGGAUGUGAUCCUAUGAAAGUAGAUGGCUUGGUGAAGAUGGAAGCUGGUUUUGAGUCUGCAAGAGUCAAAGCUCCGGUUGGCUCAGUGAAGAUGGAACCUGGUUAUGAUACUGUGAAAGUUGAAACUCCAUUCGGGGGUGGUAAAGCUGCCCAUUUGUCUGAAGCAAAGGUGGUUCCAAUAGAAAAUGACACGGCCAAGGCUGCAGAGAAGCAACCGGUUGUUUUAGAUGCAGAGAGGUGGUGGCUUCUCCAAGAGACUGAAGUUGCCGGGUACUCGACGUCCAGGGGAUGCCGGAUUCGUGUUGGCGAGUUCGUGUCCUUCAAUUUUCCCAAGCCUGAAGCCGAAAGUAAGAAGAAGUUCUUUGAGCACAAGAAGGUUCGGCCGAAAGCGAGCUCCGACAUUGUAAGGUUCUUGACAAAAGCUUCAGGAGAGGUACGUUUCACUUGACUUGUUUCUUCGUUUUAAUUCUAACCAUUUGCUCACAGAUAGGACGGCUUCCGGCCGACUGGGCCAAGUGUUUGAUACCUUUGGGAAGUGCAAAAUGGCACCAGAGGCUCUUUCUCUUAUAAGCAGCAUAGUUCUCCAUUGGAGGUAGAGUUUUCUGUGUUUACCAGAGACGUUACGUAUAUGAUGUGCUUGCAGAGUUUAUAUCAACAAGUCAGAAGCCUUACAAAGAGGGGGAUGAGCGCGGAUUGAAGCUUCUGCAAGCUAUCUUGAAGCCGUUAAUGCUUCGAAGAACAACUGAUAAGGAAGGAAGGUAAGCAUUUUUUCCUUUGCACCGUGCCUUGUCUUGUAUUCACUCACAAGUUCGAUUCACAGACCAAUUUCUUGUUCUCCAACCGGCUCAAUGUGAAGUUAUUGAAUGCAGACUAUCUGAGCCUGAACGUGAUUUUUAUGAUGCCCUUUACCACAGAUCUAAGGCAUGAAGAACUUCUCUUUCUUUUAUUUUCUCUUUUUUUCUGAACACGUUUUUGCGUUUGUGAUCAGGUAAAAUUCGAUCAGUUCGUUGAACAAGAUAAAGUUCUCCAUAACUAUGCCCCGAUCCUCGAACUGCUACUUCGAUUAUGGCAAGCUUGUGAUCAUCCUUUUCUUGUUCUGAGGUAGAAAAUGCAUCCUCUUAUGUCUGAAGUUCCUCACGUUUCUUCGUCACACAGCCGGUAGCGAUACUGAAUACUUUGCGGACGUGGGAAACCUUCUACUCUCAGUUCAUCAAGGUCUUUGGGGAGUUGUGUCACAAAGAGAGGCAAAUGCUCCCAUGUAUUAUCAGGAGCCAGAUAGAAUCUUAACCUCUUCAGGUUUGGAAGACUUGCUGCCAAAUCGUCCUUGAACUCGGACUGUGCAAUGUGUAGAUUUUGAAGGCCCAGAACUUCAAGGCAUGGGAACGAUCCAUCCAGACUAAAGAACUGGAUGCCACUGCAGUCUAUGUGAAGUUCUCGUAGCCGUUGAAAGCCCUUUAGCCAAGACAGGUCUUUCAUUGUCUCAUUGUUUGUGAUCUUUAAAAAUUGUAGCUGUGGCCAUUCAAGGCUUUCGGCAUACCGUCCUGAAGCUGUUUGGACUUCUUAAACAUUCGCUUCCAGUCAAGUUUGAUAGUCGAUUCCACCCUAAUGUCACAUCGUCUUAGAUUGACAAGUUGCCACAGGCCGGUGAAAUCGCCAAAGUCCAUGCUCUUUGCCUCCAACUCCAGUGUCUCAAUGUCCACUAGUGCACCAAGGCUGCGAGGUAUUUUUAUUGUUGCACGAUAGAGGUCUAGCGUUAAAUGUCUUAGCUUGUGUAGGCUUGAAAUUCCACUCAAAUCCACAGCUAACUCCUUAUCGAAAUGAAGCUCCAGCUCUUCCAAGUUGAAUAAUUGGGGCAGUAAUGCAAAGUUGAAUUUUGUGAUGUCAUUGCAUUUCAAAACCUUCAGUGAUGUCAAGCUGAAGAGCGCAUCUGGGAAUAUUGUCACACUUGAACGUCGAAAGAGGGGCACAUCUGAACAUUGAAGGUCAAGCACUUGAAGGUUUCUCAGCUUGGAUAUGCUCUCUGGAAUAAAACGUACCAAAUUAUAGCAUCUAUUCAAGCUCAAUACCUUGACAUUUUGGAUGUGAUCUAUAAUAAGACUGACAUCCACACCAGAAAUUCCAUGACAUCCAUCGAGAAGCAAGACAUCUCGCACAUGAAUGUCAGACAAAAGGCUGCUUGUAACCUUCUUUCCAAUGAAUGAAACUUUAGAAAAUGUUGGAGAAAUCCCAGGUGGACAAUCAUAGCCAAACAGGCAUCCCUUCUCGUGCUCUUCCUGGGGUAGGUACUUCCCUUUCAAGAUUCUUAUGCACAGCUUGCGUACCAUAUCGUGUACAGUUACAUAACAUCGAUAAUCAGUUGUCUUCACUAGGUAUCUUCGUUCCAGUUCACUAACUAUGGCCCUAGCAUGUAUAACCACAAUUUUUAAUUCUUCCUCCUCCAAGACAUUUUCUUCAACCAAAUUAUCAUUAAGUAAACUAUCCAUCACUACCUCCAACAUCACUUGUGACAAAUAUAAUGUUCUUCCAUAAAUCAUAUCCAAACCCAUUUACUGGAUUAUAUAGUUUUUACUUUCCCUCUAAAUCCACUCUAUUAUUUUCUAUUGUGCUAACUUGUGCAUUUUUAGUGAGAAUAAGUGUUUACCUAUGGUUAUAGAAAGUAGAUUUGGUGAAAAAAUAACCUUUUGGUGCUUUUGUUGCAACACAUAAUAGACAACAAUAAUUUUUCUUUCUUUUUUGCUUUGGUUUGGUAUAAACUAUUGAGAUGUGCCAUCUUUUGGCUAACCUAGUGAACAUUACAAGGCAAACACACUUUUGCAAAACUUGUGAAAUUUAAAAAUACACAAUUAUCACAUAUCUUUUAGUGUUUUUAAUGUUGUCAUCCUUGUAGUUUUUUGCUGCUUUCUUUCAAAAAUAUAAUAUUGUUACAAAUAUUUUUUUUGAGGUAUUUUUUAAGUCCUUAUUUAGCAAAUUCAUGAUGGAGGUAAAGAAGAUAAAUUGCCCAAUCCGUGAUGCUUUUUGGGAUUGAGCUCAUAGGUAACGUUUGAUAAAUAUAAAACAUAGUAAGGUUAAGGCUUUGUACUUAUUUUUAUUGAUAUAAGUUUCUUUAUUUUGGUAUCAUGCUUACUUUAACAAAUUUUUUUGACUCUUUGAGUUAAGUAAGGAUCAUUUGCUCUUCUCUAAUGCUAUAAAGGUUUUAGUAAAGAUCCAGCUCAUAUCCUUGUACAUCCAAUGUGCCAACUAUGUUUUUAAGUGAUUUUUAUUUGGUUUUGGAAAUCUUUUAUCUACAAUUCACAUAUACACUACUAUAUGUGUUGCUAGAGCUUACCAUUGCAUCCACAAUAACAUUAACAUGUCUUUAAUUGAUCUUGACAUGAUGCAAACUAAAUGACUAUAUUCAAGAAUGCCCUGUGAUCUGCAAACCCACUAUAGUGCUAUUUUGCUUGCAAAGCAAUUAAAACUAGUAAAGUGAUGUUUUUAAUUAUACAUUUUUUAAAAUAUUUAUGUAUUUAGAUUAUUAGGAUAUAAGUUGUGGCUUGAUUUUAGAAGAAACUCCAUACCCCAGAAGUAAUUUAAGAAGAAAAAUAGUCCAAUAAUGCAAUUAUGGAGAUAGAAAGUCUCUCUAGAGAGACCACAAUAUUAGAUAUGGUAACAAAUAAAUUUGAUUUUAGAGAAAGUGAAGCAGAAGUUUUUAGUGCACAUAGUUAUAAUAGCAUAAUUAAUUAAAAUCAAUAUAGGUUUGUUAAUCAAUUUAUAUACAUUUGAACUUCCCACAUAUGAGCUAAGAUUUGCAUAGUAGAGUUUAGUGGGUGGCAAGAUUGUAGAGAUGCUAAGUUUUGUAUCUUUCCAUUGUUGUAGUUAAAUCAACGAGUUGAGAUAAGGUAAGCAAUGGGUAAAAAUACAUAAAGUGAAUCCUUUUUUUUUCUUUAAAUGUUUAUGACCCUAGCAAGAUUGAAUAAACCAUCUAGCAAGGGAUUGUGUAAAUAUAUUGAGAGUGUUUAUUUAGCUAGAGUGUUGCCAAACUUCAUUAACAAGAUUAAGAGUGAUGGAUUUUUUAGAGAGGACCAUUUCAAACUCAACAUUUUGAUAUGGAUGAGCAUUGGAGCAAAAAUGGGGGAUGCAAUCCAAAUGACAAAGACACUCAAGAAUCUCAAUGAUUCAUCGGAGUAGGCAUGCCCAAAAUAAGAGCCCUUUACGAAGACAAUAAUGCGAGCUAACACCCACUCAAAAACAAAACACACCAAGUCAAGGAUUAUAAUAGUGGCAACCAAGGUUUGCAACACCAAUUUUCAAUGUUAAAAAAUACUCCAAGCGCUUACUAAAUUUCCCAUUAGCUUUAUUUGGCAAGAAUUUACUUUAUGAGUUAUUAUAAAUCUUUCCUAACUACAAAAAAGGAUACUUCAAAUGUGAAAGGCAAGUGGAGCAAAGAAUUAAGCUCAAUCAAAAGAGGAUACUUCAAAUGUAAAAGGAAAGUGGAGCAAAGAACUAAGUUAAUUAAGUCAGUUCAUGAGUGCAAAUUGGAUAACCAUGCCUUUUGUGUUUGUGAGUUCAAGAUAAAAAAGAUCUUCAUUAUAUUGCGGUAUCAACUUAAAAAAGCAAUGGUUGUUAAAAUAGAGCAAAUAAAAGUGUUUAUAAAAUACUUAUAUGACUAAAGUGUUAUAGAUCUCCUUGCAUUUAAAUCAAAUAUGAGGUUGGUAUUGAUAGAUCUUGAGUUUUUUAAGGUACAAACCAUAUUAGUUUCAAUGGAAAAAACCUCAUAGUUUUAAAUAUGGCUUUUGCAAUAUCUUCAAAUAGUAAGGAUAAAAUUUUUAAAUAAAUGGCAAUGAGAAAAUUACAAUAGUUAAGAAAGUUUAUAGUGGCACACUCAUUUAAAAGUAUAAAUCCCUACGAGUGAGGAUAAUUUCACUUAUAGAUAAGGAUUUAUUGGCCAAUAUAAAGAUUUUUUUUGCAUGUGAGGUAAAUCUUUUUUAGGAUGACAUUUUAAAAUUAUGCUCAACACUAAAGAAAGAAGUAUGCACUAAUUUUAAAUUUUAAGUUCAGAAGAUGUUUUGGCCUAAGUGCAUAAAGGCCAUUGUCAUUGGUAAGGAUAAUGAAAAAACUAUUAAAGAGGUAUUCUUUUAAAAAUGAUUUUAUAGUUUUUAAUUUUUGUUUGUGCAGCUCCAGACUAAAUCAUAUGGCAACGGAUGUGAGGAGCAACCCCUAUACCCUACUAAACAAGAUUGAUGAAGACAUAGAGUGUGAGAUUAUAACUAAAGAAAAAAAAUGUAAAUUUCAUAGUAUAACUUAAUUUUAUAUAUUGUCUAAUAUUUUUUGGCUCUAUUUACAAGUAGAAGAACACCUAAAGUGCUUCUUUAAAUAUUUUUUUAUUAAAAUAUAGAUAAUAUUAUAAAACAAUCUCAUUAUUUUGCAAUAAUCUUCAUUAAAAAUUGUUGCUUUUUAACUUUUGUGUAUUAACUGUAACUAAUUUAUAUGACUUUGUAACUUUCAUCCAUAAUAGUAGAAGUUCAACCAAUAGCCACAAAUAUUUAUAAGGAGGUUUAAGCUUGUAUAUAUUAUAUAAUAUAACUUUAUUUAUUUUUUUAGUUAACAUUAGCAAAAUUACGAAAAAACAAAAAAGUCCAGAUAAAUGAUAAGAUUACUCUUCCUGUGUAUGAGGCAAAAGAAGUGGAAUACACUGUAAAGGCAUAAAAAGAAUCAACAACUAUUAAUAAAGUAAUAUAAUAACAAAUUAAUAUAAUUAGUUUUAUUUUUUUCACUCAAACUUAGCAAAAACUUGCAAAAACUUUUUAAACUAAACAUAGUAAUUUUAGAAAAUUAGUGAAAUUGCUCUUUGAAUUUAACCUUUCUUUUGCUAACAUGAAGUAAUUCUAUAAGAAUGAGAACCAUAUUUACAAGUUGCCAAAUGCCCACAAAAUUAAAACUGAGUAAACCUUAAAGAAUAUUGUUGAGCAGAGUGUGAAGUUUGGAUAACUGAUUAUAUCUAAAGAGGCCUUAUCCAUAAAUAUUUGGAUUACAUUAAAAAAUUAAAAUGUAAAUAAAACCAUAUCUAUAAAUAUGGUUCUAUAUAUAAAAAUUUAUAUGCAACACUAUAUUUGAAUUAUGAAUAAAAUUAUGUGAACAAAAUUGGCAAACAUUAGUUUCCAAACUAUAUAUGUAUCAGUAAACUAUAUACAAAAGUAUAUGUACAUUUAUUCUCAAAAUACAACUCAAUCAUAUUCAAAAUUAUACAAAAAGCCAUUCCUCGUGAUUGCCAAAUAGCACAUAAAUCAUGAUGAAAACUAUGUACAAAACCAUUAGUGGUUGUGGUCCCAAAACCAAUGCAUUAACAAUUAAGAAACCAGUCAUAAAACCAUUAAAAUCACAUAUGGUUUAACCACAAACACAACCAUUUUGUUUUGGUACUAGUUAUAGUAAAAAAACCAUGUUGAUGAGCAUAUUGUGGUUGUGGUGCUAGACAACACUAUAUGGCAUGGCAUCUGGCAGCCAAAUGUCUUUCCCAUGGAGAUGAAGGCCAAGGUGUUGGAACCUUUGGUGGAUCACAGCUGGAAAAAUCAAAGUACUUGAUAAUGGAGAAGAAAAUUUGUGCACCUUGACUUGAAUCAUGAUCUGCUCCACAAGUUGUUGUGACAGCCAUCAAGGCAAUUUUGACGCUAAAUCAUCUUUGCAACCGGCAAGAACAACAUUCUAGGAGUAGUGGCUCAAGGUGCUGUUUUAAAUAUCCUUGCAAAAUGUUUGCACUAUGCAAAACACACAAUACCCAUUCCUCAUUGAAACGCCAUCAUUUGCUCUCACUCACUUGUUUUCUUUUGCAUCUCCACUCAGUGAGCUGCUAAGCUUCCUUAGAUUAUCAUCUGGAGGAAGUAGGGAAUUCACAGCAUAGAGUUUUGGAGUUGAAGUGUUGUUGGGAUGUUAAGUAUGAAGCUCAAAUUGCAUAUGCAUUGUAUUUUUCUGGUAUGUUGUUGUUGUGGUAUUUUUUUUCCCAAUAUGUCUGUGGUACAAUGUGGCUUGGUUUGUAAGGAGUCCUCGCACUUCCUAGUCCAUUUCUCAUCACAGGGUCUUUUAGUGGUAAUAAAUUCCCACUCGAAGAUAAUAUAAGCAAGGAACUAGUGGUUUCCAGAAGCCGAGUUUAUUCGUCCCCAGUUUUUAAGUUGGAAAGUUGCAAGAGGGAGACUGCACAGGUGAUGGAAUUCUGCUGCUGUGCUCAUCAGCAAAACUUGAGCACCCGAGUUGGAUCGACCGGGGAUAAGAAACUGGGAGGCUGUAUCAAACGUCAUCCUGGCAUAUGACCAAAACGCUUAAGCAAAGAGGUUGUUUCUUUUGAUGAUUUAUCCAGAGAGUUGCUUCUCGUGUAACAUUUUGAUCAAGGGGUUUGUGGAUGCCGGGAAGCAGCAUUUGCCCUGGCAUGGCAUUUGGAAGAAGCAAAGGGUUUCGUUUGAUGCAAUGCCUCAGUAUGACGUGCUCGCAAGAAACACAAUGGUCACUCUAUUUAUACAAACAGAAAACCUUGAACACACAAAGUACAGGUUGUCUCUUUUGCAAAGUUGAAAGGUUUUCUCCCAGAAAGAAGCACAAUAUUAACUCUUGGCCUUGUAGAUCGGAAUCAUACUGUUCUUCACUUUUUUCAACUCUCUCUCUCUCUCUCUCUCUCUCUCUCUCUCACACACACACACACACACACACACACACACUAAUAGCGUUUUGAGCAGCUGUUCUUCCAUCCAGGCAUUUGCUGUUUUGGUUCAAUUUUGCUUAAACACCAGCGACCUUCACGACAUAAGAGCUAGAUUGAUUCACAGUGAGCACCACAACGAUCGCUACCUCGCCAAUCUCAUCGUCCAAAAGUAUGGGGAGCUGUGGGGUGCUCGACGGAUCAUCGCUGGCUCUUGCAGAACAUCUUGCUGGGAAAAAUCGGUUGAGCGGAGAUCCAAGAGGGAUGUGGUCGCAUGGAACUUGAUCCUCGCAGCGUAUGCCUAAAACGCUCAGUCAAAAGAGAUGUUUCUUUGGAUGAUCGAGGAAUGUUUUGAUCAAGGUGGGUUUGUGAAUGCCAUGCGAGAAAGCAGCAGUUGCCGGGACAAGGCAUUUAGAAGACGCAAAAGUUUCAAUUGACGGGAUGCCUCAACAGAAUGUGCUCGCAAGAAAAACAAUGAUCAUUCCUUGUUUUACGAACGGAGCACGCUCUUAAAGAUGCGAUACGCCUGUUUGAGAGUAUGAGCAUCGUCUUGUCUCUUGUACGGCGUUGAUCCAGGCGUUUGGGAAUAGAGGGCUCCUCUGCCGAUCUUUGAUGGGAUCCGGGCGAUCUUGUCACCGACGUCUUGAAAGAUCUUAGAUUCUAUCCGCAAUCGCCCAGUCCUGGCGAUGGGUGCUGCAUAUCAUUCUGCGUGACGUGAUCUCCAGGAUUUGCGAAGAAGAAGCUCGUCGAUCAGAUGCGCGAUGCUGGCGCGCAAUUGAUUGGGGCUUCCCGCUACAUUUUCCCGCGCUAUCGUCUCUACUUCUCCAUUCUAGGGUUCUUUCUUGGAGGCGACGCAGGUUUUCUAUUGCCCGCGUGGUCGAGGAGACGGCGCUGGGGGGCGGCCUUGAUCGGCGUUGUGGAGCUGCACAGGUAAUGGGGCUCGACACUCCGGGUUUUAGAAAUAGGAAGAGGCUCCAGCUUAAGGCUCCGACGAGCAGUGCCAAGGCGAGGAGCCCCAGCCAGCGUUGGUAAAUCGUGGACGACAGGGAGCUCUAGAUGUAUGGUGACAACAAAGGUCCCUGUUCCAUCGGCUGUGGAUCGCCAAAAACUCCCGCAAAAGCUGAGGCUUCUAGGACAGCAAAAAUUGCCGAGGUGAUUAUUGAAAGUGGAGCAGAGGAUUUAGAUGAUUCGGGAGUAGAAGAAGAGGUAAACAAGAGGUAAACAAGAUUAAGACUGGAGGAGGAAACGAUGCCGAGGUGGAAAGAACAACAGUGGUGGAGAGCUCCAUUGAGACUGUCAGGAAACAUGGCGAGGCUGUUUCUAGCGCCUUAGCUGGACUUUCAAUCAGAGGUAGUGCCUUGACCCACGGUAAUCCCGUUAAGAUGGAAGCUGGUUGUGGUUCCGUGAAAGCUGAAGCGUCGGUUUCGAUCGCAGCUGGAUGUGAUCCUAUGAAAGUAGAUGGAUUGGUGAAGAUGGAAGCUGGUUUUGAGUCUGCAAGAGUCGAAGCUCUGGUUGGCUCGGUGAAGAUGGACCCUCGUUAUGAUACUGUGAAAGUUGAAACUCCAUUCGGGGGUUGUUUUAGAUGUUGAGAGGUGGUGGCUUCUCCAAGAGACUGAAGUUGCCGGGUACUCGACGUCCAGGGGAUGCCGGAUUCGUGUUGGCGAGUUCAUUUCCUUCAGUUUUCCCAAGCCUGAAGCCGAAAGUAAGAAGAAGUUCUUUGAGCACAAGAAGGUUCGGCCAAAAGCGAGCUCCGACAUUGUAAGGUUCUUGACAAAGCUUCAGGAGAGGUACGUUUCACUUGACUUGUUUCUUCGUUUUACUUCUAACCAUUUGCUCACAGAUAGGACGGCUUCCAGCCGACUGGGCCAAGUGUUUGAUACCUUUGGGAAGUGCAAAAUGGCACCAGAGGCUCUUUCUCUUAUGAGCAGCAUAGUUCUCCAUUUGAGGUAGAGUUUCUGUGUUUACCAGAGACGUUACGUAUAUGAUGUGCUUGCAGAGUUUAUAUCAACAAGUCAGAAGCCUUACGAGGAGGGGGUUGAGCGCGGAUUGAAGCUUCUGCAAGCUAUCUUGAAGCCGGUAAUGCUUCGAAGAACAAAAGAUUCAACUGAUAAAGAGGAAGGUAAGCAUUUUUUUCUUUGCACCGUGCCUUGUCUUGUAUUCACUCACAAGUUGGAUUCACAGACCAAUUCCUGUUCUCCAACCGGCUCAAUAUGAAGUUAUUGUAUCCAGAUCCAUAGGUAUCAUGCAGGCGUUCCUGUACGAAAUAGGAACUCAUAACUGUACCAACAAGUAAUCGGUUUCGAAUAAAUGUCGAGGAGCAGUGGAAGGAGUCGUCCAAAGUCGAGGCUCUGCUGCACCACCUCCAGACGUUAAGUGAGGCCGGGUCGAAAAGCGUUGUUUUUAGUCAGUGGACAGCGUUUCUCGACUUGUUAGAGAUACCAUUGAAAAGGUCCGAGCGUCUUUCCUUUUGGUGCUUUCUCUUUGUUUGUGUUUCUAACAAUGCACUGCCAGGAAGAACUUCUGUUUCGUCCGCUUGGACGGAACACUAUUGCAGCGUCAGCGAGAACAAGUGCUCAAAAGCUUCAGCAAUAUUCCAGCCGUGGUGGCCGUAAGCUUUUUGUGUUGCUUACCUCCAAGAAACCACUAUUUUGUGGUCAUGCUCAAGCUUUUCUCAUGGUACGCGCUAUAGUUUUCUUUUUUAGCCAUCUUCCGAGUCGAGAAUGUGGACGAUCGAGCAUCGGUCAGACGAAGAACGUAUCGAUCAAGCGCCAGUUGAAACUCUCUUUGACGUUUCUCAUGUCUCUAGAGCAGGACUCGGUGGAGGAGAGAAUGCAACAGGUCCAAGCGAGGAAGCAGCGAUUGAUCGCGGGGGCUCUCACAGACGAAGAGGUGCCAAGCGCUCGAAUCGAGGAGCUCAAAAUGCUAUUUAGAUGAGAAGAGCUGGAGUCCUUAGCAACUUAAAUCAGUGUACAUAGUUAAAGAGGGGAAUAUGCUUCUAGCAUCGGCGCGUAUAUUCUUCGGAUAGUUCAAUGUAGGUUUCUUCGCGGCUAUGGCGGACAGCAGGCGAUCGCGUCGCAAGCGGCGACGAGCAAGGUAUGGAUGCUAGGAUCGCCUCGAGAAGCAGCAGCAGCGCCGGCGCCGGCGCCGCGCCGCGAUUUCGCUGGCCUAGAGCCGGAGUAGCCGAUCUAGAUUCAUGCAAGCAUAUGAUCUCUAGGAAAUUGAGCUGAACGCUGAGGCUUUGCAGGCGAUCGCGUCGAUUCCUCUGGUCUCCGCGGCCGGGGCGGCUAGAAAGCCGGGGCGCAUUCUAGAGUUUCGGGGUUUCUGGGGCGAUCAGUCAUGUAGCGCGCCUUGACUGCCACUACUCAGGCCGACGAUGAAUUGGGCGUGGAUGUGUCGUCUCCCAGCGGCGAUUUGCUACUCCAAUUUCUCAAGAGUGGUGGGGGCGACGAGCAGCUGAGGAGCAGUAGCAGCUACAGGACCCAGCAGUCGCAGCUCACGGUCCCUGCCACAGCUUUGCUCCUUCUGGAGGAGGAGGAGAAGGUCCUCCUCCACGACCACUCUACGUCCCAGCAACAAGAUUUGGUGGGUGGUCACCUCACUUCCAGCAGCACCAAGACCCACUUUUCCCUUCGGAUCCAUUCUUGACUCCGUCGGACCACUGAUUUCUACGCUCGUUUGCUCCUCUUCCAGUCGAGAGACCGUUCCAUCCGCCAGUGCCGUAUCCUUUUCCAAAUGCUCCGACUUUCCAGCCUGCUGAUAAUGUGGUUCAUCCGCCGCAUUCCUCUGGGGAGCUUAAAGCUCGUCCUGCCCUUCACUUCGAGUCUCCGGUGUUUGGACCCAGCGCAGCAGAGACCUCGGACUCCAAGCGCGCCCCAGAGCAGCCGAGGAGAUCGGUUACACCUGCGAAGGAUGACAAGCAACAAUUCCACGGCAAUGGUUCCGAGCUCCUUCAGUUGUUACAGGGUGGUCCUGGUCGUGUGAAGCCCACAGCCUCCACAAAGGUGGAUGCUACACAGGACAGUGGGGAUUCUGGAGAGCCAUCAAAGAAAGGAAGUCCAUCUGCUGUUCACGGCCCCAUAGGACUGCCGAGGCGUCAUGUCGUUUCUCCUCCGCAGAGUCCAAAUGACCUCCUUGGACGUUUGUGGGCUGCUCUUCCGGCCUCAAGCCACACUUCGUUUGACGGAGAAAGCGAACGCAAGACGUCAGCCCGGAGCUUUGGCGUUGAAGCGAACGAGAUGUCCCGGGAAGUCGAUGGAGGUGGAGCUGCUGGUUUCGCACUUUUGAAGCGAAGGGGAUCGGAGCCUGCCGCCUCGCACUACCUUUAAACGGCUACGACUAUAACGACUCUAAGACAAAUGAUAAGCCGAGGACAAACUCAGCAUCCGGAAGACUACAGGACUAUCGUGGGAGAUACGUAAAUGGAGAGGCCGAAUUUGAGCCCGGAGGCGAUGACUUUAGAGGUGCUGGAAGGCGUCGAGGUCCCGGUCGUGCAGACGCCAGACGCGGUGGUCGGGGUGCUGUUUGCCAGUGGAUUGCGGUAAAUGAGAGGCAUAAAGAUGCUGAGCCAAGUGACAUCACCUCCUGCGAUAUCUCUGAUGGAAGGGACGAGUCGCUUAAAUCUUCAAACGGGACUUAGUCGAAUGCUAGGAGAAAACAUCAACAGGUAUGGAGGAUAAAACAGGCCGACUCAAAGGCAGCAUUUCCAGCGGAGGAAAAUCCGGACUACGAGGUUCCAAAGGCACGGUCUUUGGCAUCUCAACUUGAACGUCCAGGCUUGCCAUCGGGAAGUACGCAAAACUCUUCCGUUGGUGCGGCUUUUGAGGAGUCCAAACAGAGGCUCCAUAAUCUAGAUGCUUUGGAAGGAGAAGGCGUGACGACGUCUCUAGAUCUCGAGGAGCUACAAAUUGACGGUCACCGUCGUGAGGGUAAAGCUCCACAGUUUUACAAGGUUUGUGCUUGCGUUUUUUUCUUUCUUUAUUUUCAUGUGUUUGUAUCUCUGGUUACAGCCGAAGGAGAACCGUUUCAGGGAGUCCAGACGCGUCAUUCCCAUGCACAGACGUGAUCUUCUUUACCGACUGGAUCUGCAAUCUGGAUAUUUCACUCGUGAGCUUUUCUGCCUCUACGACGAGCUUAUACCAACCGAAGAAGGGGAGGUCCGGAGAAGGAAGUUCUUCUCGAAGCUUGAGUCCCUUUUCGAGAGGGAGGUCCCGGGAACACGGCUCUUUCUUUUCGGAUCGUGUGUUAAUGCGUUUGGAGUUUGUAACAGUGACAUCGAUGUUUGCCUCUCCGUUGAUCAGGAAGAACCAAACAAGAUCGAGCUUGUUGUUCAAAUGGCAACUAUCCUCGAGUCAGAUGCCAUGUUAGACGUACAGGAGGCGUAGGACUCAACGUGACUCAUGGUAUAGUUUCUUAUCCGAAUUCUUAGCCAUCCUCCGAUCCAGAGAACUUUCCUUUCAUUGUUCUUGGCAACAGGGUCGAUGUCGAUGGAGAGAACAGUAGAGUGGUGAGCUCUUUUGUUUCAUCUCUUGCCUCACUUUAAAGCUUGUGUGUCCAGGUUUCCGAGAAUAAAGCCAAGGCCUGGUGUGCUUCCCAAGGAAAACAUUCUAUACUUUGAGGCGUCUGCCAAGGAAGACUACAACGUGGAGGCUGCGUUUCAAUGCAUUGCCAAGAAUGCCUUGAGGAGCGAACCCGAGGAAGACUUGUAAGUUUUGCUUGUUUCUUCUUGUGAUGUUUCAAGCUCACAUUUAACUUCUGGCAGCUAUCUUCCAGAGACGAUCGACAUUACAAAUAACAAUUGAUCUACUACUACUGUCCCUCUAUCGAUAAGUGUUUUCGCUUUCAUUUUAUAUGGUUUUUUUUCUUUCUUUUUCUUUUUACUCUCUCCUUUCGCUCGUUGGCCUUGGAUUUUUUUCCCUUCUCAAUUUCCCAGUCGUUUUUUUAUUUUUUCACUACGAAAUAACUUUUCUUCUUCGAUCUUGUAUCUAGUUACUACUAGUAGUACGCAAAUUCUUGUGUUUGUGUAUUAUUAAAUUUUCUUCGUUUCUAAUGGAUUGCUAGUAGACGAGAAUUGGGUCGCAACAUGCCUAGUUUUUCUAGAUUUCACAAGUCUGUUUUCUAGAUUUCACAAGUCUGGGUGGAAAAUAAGCUAAGGCUGUGAUUGACACUGCAUCACAAGAGUUUCCAAUCCUUGGCAGCGAAGCUGUGCAACCCUUUCAUUGUCUUAUCCAGCCGCCAAUUUCAUCGUCCCAAAAUGGGGAAUGUGGCACAAACCAAAGCAAUCAUUGAUCUCGAAAAAAGGACCUCUGAAGAAGAACUAAAGGUAUGCAUAUGCAUAUUUUUAAUAUUGUUAUGUUUUCCAUGUUUUACCAUUUACUCUAUACACCAGGUUUUAAAAUACUCUUGGAAAUCUCUGUUUUUGUUUUUUGAUGAUCUACUUGUGAUGCAAAAUAGUGUAGCAUUUGCGCAGGGAGCGGCCGGAUCUCGAGAUAUACAGGCGCUAGUAAACCUUCGAAGAUUCAAGCCAUGGUGGAACUUUCGUAACUAUAUCAUCCCUGAAGUUUAUCUGGAGAUCCGGCCGCUCCUCAAGCCAUGGUGGAACUUUCGUACCUUUUCGGCAGCGUAGGACUUUGAGCCUUGGAAAUAAGCCAAGGCCGUGAUUGUCUGAACUCAAUUGGGGCCACACUACAUCAUCAUGAUCAUAGAGCCCAAGCAUCUCCAAUCCUGGAAGGGAUGCAAUGGAUGAUGGAAUAUUUUCGAUCCCCAUCAAGUGCGCCCAUCUUAAAAGAGUCAUCUGGUCUGUUGGCUCAAAGAAAUCAUUGGGGAGCUGCCUCAUACAGCCCUUCCGCAAAGAUAAUGUGAACCGUUUCACCUUCAGCUGUGAUCUCUCGGUUGGCAUCAAGAGUCUCCUCAUGUAACCUUCUACUCUCAGUCCAUCAAGGUCUUUGGGGAGUUGUGUCACAAAGAGAGGCAAAUGCUCCCAUGUAUUAUCAAGAGCCACAACGAAUGUUAACCUCUUCAGAUUUGGAAGACUUGCUGCCAAAUCAUCCUUGAACUCCGACUGUGCAAUGCGCAGAUUUCGAAGCUCCAGAUGUUCGAGGCAUGGGAACAAUCCAUCCAGACUGAAGAACUGGAUACCACUGCAGUCUAGGUCAAGUUUUCGUAGCCGUUGAAAGCCCUUUAACCAAGACAGGUCUUUCAUUGUCUCAUUGUUUGUGAUGGAUAAAAAUUGUAGCUGCAGCCAUUCGAGGCUUUCGGCAUUGUUUUCACCGUCUUGUACCCCAUAAAUGGUAAAGUUCUGAAGCUGUUUGGAAUUCUUAAACAUUCGUUUCCAGUCAAGUUUGAUAGUCGAUUCCACCCUAAUGUGACAUUGUCUUAGAUUGACAAGUUGCCACAGGCCGGUGAAAUCGGCAAAGUCCAUGCUCUUUGCCUGCAACUCCAGUGUCUCAAUGUCCUCUAGUGCACCAAGGCUGUGAGGUAUUUUUAUUGUUGCAUUAUUGAAGAGGUUUAGCUUUAAAUGUCUUAGCUUGUGUAGGCUUGAAAUUCCACUCAAAUCCACAGCUAACUCCUUACCGGAAUGAAGCUCCAGCUCUUCCAAGUUGAAUAAUUGGGGCAGUAAUGCAAAGUUGAAUUUUGUGAUCUCAUCGCAUUUCAAAACCUUCAGUGAUGUCAAGCUGAAGAGCGCAUCUGGCAAUUGAGGCACAUCAUCGAAGGAUCGAACGUCAAGCACUUGAAGGUUUCUCAGCUUGGAUAUGCUCUCUGGAAUAGAACGGAUAGAGCUUCCAUUGAAGCUCAAUACCUUGACAUUUUGGAUGUGAUCUAUAAUAAGACUGACAUCCGCACCAGAAAUUCCAUGACAUCUAUCGAGAAGCAAGACAUCUCGCACAUGAAUGUCGGACAAAAGGCUGCUUGUAACCUUCUUUCCAAUGAAUGAAACUUUAGAAAAUGUUGGAGAAAUCCCAGGUGGACAAUCAUAGCCAAACAGGCAUCCAUCUUAGUCGAAUGCUAACAGCAAUGGAGGAUAAAACAGGCCGACUCAAAGGCAGCAUUUCCAGCGGAGAAAAAACCGGACUACAAGGUUGCAAAGGCACGGUCUUUGGCAUCUCAACUUGAACGUCUAGGCUUGCCAUCGGGAAGUAUGCAAAACUCUUCCGUUGGCGCGGCUUUUGAGGAGUCCAAACAAAGGCUCCAUAAUCUAGAUGCUUUGGAAGGAGAAGGCGUGACGACCUCUCUAGAUCUCGAGGAGCUACAAAUUGACGGUCACCGUCGUGAGGGUAAAGCUCCACAGUUUUACUAUUUUCAUGUGUUUGUAUCUCUGGUUACAGCCGAAGGAGAACCGUUUCAGGACCUCUGAAGAACUAAAGGUAUGCAUAUGCAUAUUCUUAAUAUUGUUAUGUUUUCCAUGUUUUACCAUUUACUCUAUACACCAGAUUUUAAAAUACUCAAAACCACGAGAGUAAAGUAAUAUCCUGAGAAUACGAUUUGUAAGAAAAACAGAAACUGUGUCUUCUCCAAACGCUGCUGACGGCUUGGAAAUCUCUGUUUUUGUUUUUUGAGUGAUGCAAAAUAGUGUAGCAUUUGCGCAGAUCGAGAACCCAAUCGAUGUCCACUGAAGGAGCAAGGUUUAAGCCCAGAAGAUUAUCUGGAGAUCCGGCCGCUCCUCAAGCCAUGGUGGAACUUUCGUACCUUUUGGGCAGUAUACGACUUUGAGCCUGGGAAAUAAGCCAAGGCCGUGAUUGUCUGAACUCAAUUGGCGCCACACUACAUCAUCAUGAUCAGAGAGCACAAGUGUUUCCAAUCCUGGAAGGGAUGCAACGGAUGAUGGAAUAUCUUCAAUCCCAGACAAGUGCACCAAUCUUAAAAGAGUCAUCUGGUCUGUUGGCUCAAAGAAAUCAUUGGGGAGCUGCCUCAUACAGCCCUUCCGCAAAGAUAAUGUGAACCGUUCCACCUUUAGCUGUGAUCUCUCGGUUGGCAUCAAGAGUCUCGUCAUGUAACCUUGUACAUCCAGCAAAUUAAGGUCAUUGGGGAGUUGUGUCACAAAGAGAGGCAAAUGCUCCCAUGUAUUAUCAGGAGCCAGAUUGAAUGUUAAGGUCUUCAGGUUUGGAAGACUUGCUGCCAAAUCAUCCUUGAACUCCGACUGUGCAAUGUGCAGAUUUCGAAGCUCCAGCCAUUCGAGGCAUUGGAACGAUCCAUCCAGACUGAAGAACUGGAUACCACUGAAGUCUAGGUGAAGUUCUCGUAGCCGUUGAAAGCCCUUUAACCAGGACAGGUCUUUCAUUGUCUCAUUGUUUCUGAUCGUUAAAAAUUGUAGCUGUGGCCAUUCAUGGCUUUCGGCAUUGUUUUCACCAUCUUGUACCCCGUCAAUUGAAAAGUGCUGAAGCUGUUUGGAAUUCUUAAACAUUCGCUUCCAGUCAAGUUUGAUAGUCGAUUCCACCCUAACGUCACAUCGUCUUAGAUUGACAAGUAGCCAUGGGUCGGUGAAAUCGGCGAAGUCCAUGCUCUUUGCCCGCAACUGCAGUGUCUCAAUGUCCACUAGUGCACCAAGGCUGUGAGGUAUUUUUAUUGUUGCAUUGUGGAGGUCUAGCUCUAAAUGUCUUAGCUUGUGUAGGCUAGCUAACUCCUCAUUGUGAGGUAUUUUUAUUGUUGCAUUGUAGAGACUUAGCUCUAAAUGUCUUAGCUUGUGUAGGCUUGAAAUUCCACUCAAAUCCACAUCCUCAGAGGAAUGAAGCUCCAGCUCGGAUUCGUGUUGGCGAGUUCAUUUCCUUCAGUUUUCCCAAGCCUGAAGCCGAAAGUAAGAAGAAGUUCUUUGAGCACAAGAAGGUUCGGCCAAAAGCGAGCUCCGACAUUGUAAGGUUCUUGACAAAAGCUUCAGGAGAGGUACGUUUCACUUGACUUGUUUCUUCGUUUUAAUUCUAACCAUUUGCUCACAGAGAGGACGGCUUCCAGCCGACUGGGCCAAGUGUUUGAUACCUUUGGGAAGUGCAAAAUGGCACCAGAGGCUCUUUCUCUUAUGAGCAGCAUAGUUCUCCAUUUGAGGUAGAGUUUUCUGUGUUUACCAGAGACGUUAUGUAUAUGAUGUGCUUGCAGAGUUUAUAUCAACAAGUCAGAAGCCUUACGAGGAGGGGGAUGAGCGCGGAUUGAAGCUUCUGCAAGCUAUCUUGAAGCCGUUAAUGCUUCGAAGAACAAAAGAUUCAACUGAUAGAGAAGGAAGGUAAGCAUUUUUUUCUUUGCACCGUGCCUUGUCUUGUAUUCACUCACAAGUUGGAUUCACAGACCAAUUCUUGUUCUCCAACCGGCUCAAUGUGAGGUUAUUGAAUGCAAACUAUCUGAGCCUGAACGUGAUUUUUAUGAUGCCCUUUAGAACAGAUCUAAGGCAUGAAGAACUUCUCUUUCUUUUAUUUUCUCUUUUUUCUGAACACGUUUUUGCGUUUGUGAUCAGGUAAAAUUCGAUCAGUUCGUUGAACAAGGUAAAGUUCUCCAUAACUAUGCCUCGAUCCUCGAACUGCUACUUCGAUUACGGCAAGCUUGUGAUCAUCCUUUUCUUGUUCUGAGGUAGAAAAUGCAUCCUCUUAUGUCUGAAGUUCCUGACGUUUUCUUCAUCACGCAGCCGUGGCGAUACUGAAGACUUUGCGGACCUAAGAAUUCCUCCCAGGUGCCUUCGACGGCGUAUGUCAAAGAGGUGGUGGAUGAUAUUCAUAAAGGAGAAAGUGCUGAGUGCCCAAUUUGUUUGGAGAUGCACGCAGUUCUUACACCAUGCGCUCAUCGAAUGUGCCGUGAGUGCCUAUUUAAUAGCUGGCGUACUAGCGCCGGAGGUCCCUGUCCAAUAUCCGAGGUAACAUAUUGUUUUUUUUCUCGAGCUCUUUUCCAUAUCCAUAGCUAUCAUGCAGGCGUUCCUGUACGAAAUAGGAACUCAUAACUGUACCAACAAGUAAUCGGUUUCGAAUAAAUGUCGAGGAGCAGUGGAAGGAGUCGUCCAAAGUCGAGGCUCUGCUGCACCACCUCCAAACGUUAAGUGAGGCCGGGUCGAAAAGCGUUGAUUUUAAUCAGUGGACAGCGUUUCUCGACUUGUUAGAGAUACCAUUGAAAAGGUACGAGCGUCUUUCCUUUUGGUGCUUUCUCUUUGUUUGUGUUUCUAACAAUGCACCGCCAGGAAGAACUUCUGUUUCGUCCGCUUGGACGGAACACUAUCGCAGCGUCAGCGAGAACAAGUGCUCAAAAGCUUCAGCAAUAUUCCAGCCGUGGCCGUAAGCUUUUUGUGUUGCUUACCUCCAAGAAACCACUCUAUUUUGUGGACAGGUCAUGCUCUCAUGCUUUUCUCAUGGUACGCGCUAUAGUUUUCUUUUUUAGCCAUCUUCCGAGUCGAGAAUGUGGACGAUCGAGCAUCGGUCAGACGAAGAACGUAUCGAUCAAGCGAUUCAUCGUCAAAGUAAGCGCCACUUGAAACUCUCUUUGACGUUUCUCAUGUCUCUAGAGCAGGACUCGGUGGAGGAGAGAAUGCAACAGGUCCAAGCGAGGAAGCAGCGAUUGAUCGCGAGGGCUCUCACAGACGAAGAGGUGCGAAGCGCUCGAAUCGAGGAGCUCAAAAUGCUAUUUAGAUGAGAAGAAGCAUUUUAACUUAGUGUACAUAGUUAAAGAGGAGAAUAUGCUUCUAGCAUCGGCGCUUGGGUACAAGCACUUUUAGGUUUCUUCCUAUGGCGGACAGCGAAGGAGCAGGCGAUCGCGUCGCAAGCGGCGACGAGCAAGGUAUGCAUGCUAGGAUCGAGAAGCAGCAGCAGCGCCAGCGCCGGCGCCGCGCCGCGAUUUCGCUGGCCUAGAGAGCCGGAGUAGCCGAUCUAGAUUCAUGCAAGCAUAUCAUCUCUAGGAAAUUGAGCUGAACGCUGAGGCUUUGCAGGCGAUCGCGUCGAUUCCUCUCGUCUCCGCGGCCAGGGCGGCUAGAAAGCCGGGGCGCAUUCUAGAGUUUCGGAGUUUCUGGGGCGAUCAGUCAUGUAGCGGGCAGUGAUUCUCUCACAUGGAGCUGGGAGUCAGCCAUGACGUGGAAUCCGCCACAAGUUCCUCCCAGCUUGUCCGCCUUGACUGCCACUACUCAGGCCGAGGAUGAACUGGGCGUGGAUGUGUCGUCUCCCAGCGGCGAUUUGCUGCUCCAUUUUCUCAAGAGCGGUGGGGGCGACGAGCAGCUGAGGAGCAGUAGCAGCUACAGGACCCAGCAGUCGCACCUUACGGUCCCUGCCACAGCUUUGCUCCUUCUGGAGGACCUGGAGGAGGAGGAGAAGGUCCUCCUCCACGACCACUCUACGUCCCAGCAAUAAGAUUUGGUGGGUGGUCACCUCACUUCCAGCAGCACCAAGACCCACUUUUCCCUUCGGAUCCAUUCUUGACUCCGUCGGACCACUGAUUUCUACGCUCGUUUGCUCCUCUUCCAGUCGAGAGACCGUUCCAUCCAGUGCCGUAUCCUUUUCUAAAUGCUCCGACUUUGCAGCCUGCUGAUACAGUGGUUCAUCCGCCGCAUUCCUCUGGGGAGCUUAAAGCUCGUCCUGGCCUUCACUUCGAGUCUCCGGUGUUUGGACCCAGCGCAGCAGAGACCUCGGACUCCAAACGCGCCCCAGAGCAGCCGAGGAGAUCGGUUACACACAAGCAACAAUUCCACGGCAAUGGUUCCGAGCUCCUUCAGUUGUUACAGGGUGGUUCUGGUCGUGUGAAGCCCACAGCCUCCACAAAGGUGGAUGCUACACAGGACAGUGGAGAUUCUGGAGAGCCAUCAAAGAAAGGAAGUCCAUCUGCUGUUCACGGCCCCAUAGGACCGCCGAGGCGUCAUGUCGUUUCUCCUCCGCAGAGUCCAAAUGACCUCCUUGGACGUUUGUGGGCUGCUCUUCCGUCGUCAGGCCACACUUUGUUUGACGGAGAAAGCAAACGCAAGACGUCAGCCCGGAGCUUUGGCGUUGAAGUGAACGAGGUGUCCCGGGAAGUCGAUGGCGGUGGAGCUGCUGGUUUCGCACUUUUGAAGCGAAGGGGAUCGGAGCCUGCCGCCUCGCACUGCCUUUAAACGGCUACGCCUAUAACGACUCUAAGACAAAUGAUAAGCCAAGGACAAACUCAGCAUCCGGAAGACUACAGGACUAUCGUGGGAGAUACGUAAAUGGAGAGGCCGAAGUUGAGCCCGGAGGCGAUGACUUUAGAGGUGCGGGAAGGCGUCGAGGUACCGGUCGUGCAGACGCCAGACGCGGUGGUCGGGGUGCUGUUGGCCAGUGGAUUGCGGUAAAUGAGAGGCAUAAAGAUGCUGAGCCAAGUGACAUCACCUCCUGCGAUAUCUCUGAUGGAAGGGACGAGUCGCUUAAAUCUUCAAACGGGACUUAGUCGAAUGCUAGGACAAAACAUCAACAGGAAUGGAGGAUAAAACAGGCUGACUCAAAGGCAGCAUUUCCAGCGGAGAAAAAACCGGACUACAAGGUUCCAAAGGCACGGUCUUCGGCAUCUCAACUUGGCAUCUCAACUUGAACGUCCAGGCUUGCCAUCGGGAAGUACGCAAAACUCUUCCGUUGGUGCGGCUUUUGAGGAGUCCAAACAGAGGCUCCAUAAUCUAGAUGCUUUGGAAGGAGAAGGCGUGACGACCUCUCUAGAUCUCGAGGAGCUACAAAUUGACGGUCACCGUCGUGAGGGUAACACUCCACAGUUUGACAAGGUUUGUGCUUGCCUUUUUUCUUUCUUUAUUUUCAUGUGUUUGUAUCUCUGGUUACAGCCGAAGGAGAACCGUUUCAGGACCUCUGAAGAACUAAAGGUAUGCAUAUGCAUAUUCUUAAUAUUGUUAUGUUUUACCAUUUACUCUAUACACCAGAUUUUAAAAUACUCAAAACCACGAGAGUAAAGUAAUAUCCUGAGAAUACGAUUUGUAAGCAAAACAGAAACUAUGUCUUCUCCAAACGCUGCUGACGGCUUGGAAAUCUCUGUUUUUGUUUUUUGAGUUAUGCAAAAUAGUGUAGCAUUUGCGCAGAUCGAGAACCCAAUCGAUGUCCACUGAAGGAGCAAGGUUUAAGCCCAGAAGAUUAUCUGGAGAUCCGGCCGCUCCUCAAGCCAUGUUGGAACUUUCGAACCUUUUGGGCAGUAUACGACUUUGAGCCUGGGAAAUAAGCCAAGGCCGUGAUUGUCUGAACUCAAUUGGGACCACACUACAUCAUCAUGAUCAGAGAGCACAAGUUCCUCCAAUCCUGAAAGGGAUGCAACGGAUGAUGGAAUAUCUUCGAUCCCAUAGAAGUGCACACGUCUUAAAAGAGUCAUCUGGUCUGUUGGCUCAAAGAAAUCAUUGGGGAGCUGCCUCAUACAGCCCUUCCGCAAAGAUAAUGCGAACCGUUUCACCUUCAGCUGUGAUCUCUCGGUUGGCAUCAAGAGUCUCCUCAUGUAACCUUCUACUCUCAGUUCCUCAAGGUCUUUGGGGAGUUGUGUCACAAAGAGAGGCAAAUGCUCCCAUGUAUUAUCAGGAGCCAGAUAGAAUCUUAACCUCUUCAGGUUUGGAAGACUUGCUGCCAAAUCAUCCUUGAACUUCGACUGUGCAAUGUGCAGGUUUCCAAGCUCCAGCCAUUCGAGGCAUGGGAACGAUCCAUCCAGACUGAAGAACUGGAUACCACUGCAGUCUAGUUGAAGUUCUCGUAGCCGUUGAAAGACCUUUAGCCAAGACAGGUCUUUCAUUGUCUCAUUGUUUAUGAUCGUUAAAAGUUGUAGCUGUGGCCAUUCAAGGCUUUCGGCAUUGUUUUCACCGUCUUGUACCCCGUCAAUCGAAAAGUUCUGAAGCUGUUUGGAAUUCUUAAACAUUCGCUUCCAGUCAAGUUUGAUAGUCGAUUGCACGCUAAUGUGACAUCGUCUUAGAUUGACAAGUUGCCACGGGCCGGUGAAAUCGCCAAAGUCCAUGCUCUUUGCACGCAACUCCAGUGUCUCAAUGUCCACUAGUGCACCAAGGUUGUGAGGUAUUUUUAUUGUUGCACCUUUGAAGUCUAGCUUUAAAUCUCUUAGCUUGUGUAGGCUUGAAAUUCCACUCAAAUCCAUAGCCACAGCUAACUCCUUACAAGAUUCAAGCUCCAGACGUUUGAGGCAUGGGAACGAUCCAUCCAGACUGAAGAACUGGAUACCACUGCAGUCUAGGUGAAGGUCUCGUAGCCGUUGAAAGACCUUUAGCCAAGACAGGUCUUUCAUUGUCUCAUUGUUUGCGAUGGAUAAAGCUUGUAGCUGCAGCCAUUCGAGGCUUUCGGCAUUGUUUUCACCGUGUUGUACCCCGUCAAUCGAAAAGUGCUGAAGCUGUUUGGAAUUCUUAAACAUUCGCUUCCAGUCAAGUUUGAUAGUCGAUUUCACCCUAAUCUCACAUCGUUUCAGAUUGACAAGUUGCCACGGGCCUGUGAAAUCGCCAAAGUCCAUGCUCUUUGCACGCAACACCAGUGUCUCAAUGUCCUCUAGUGCACCAAGGCCGUGAGGUAUUUUUAUUGUUGCCUUGUGGAGGCCUAGCUCUAAAUGUCUUAGCUUGUGUAGGCUUGAAAUUCCACUCAAAUCCACAGCUAACUCCUCAAAGGAAUAAAGCUCCAGCUCUUCCAAGUUGAAUAAUUGGGGCACUAAUCCAAAGUUGAGAUUUCUGGUAGCCUUGCAUUUCAAAACCUUCAGUGAUGUCAAGCUGAAGAGCGCAUCUGGUAAUAUUGUCACACUUGAUGGUACAAGGCACAUCUCUCGAAGGUCAAGCACUUGAAGGUUUCUCAGCUUGGAUAUGCUCUCUGGAAUAAAACGGACCAAAUUAUCGCAUCCAUUCAAGCUCAAUACCUUGACAUUUUGGAUGUGAUCUAUAAUAAGACUGACAUCCACACCAGAAAUUUUAUGACAUCGAUCGAGAAGCAAGACAUCUCGCACAUGAAUGUCAGACAAAAGGCUGCUUGUAACCUUCUUUCCAAUGAAUGAAACUUUAGAAAAUGUUGGAGAAAUCCCAGGUGGACAAUCAUAGCCAAACAGGCAUCCCUUCUCGUGCUCUUCCUGGGGUGGGUACUUCCCUUUCAAGAUUCUUAUGCACAGCUUGCGUACCAUAUCGUGCACAGUUACAUACUUGUCCCGAAGUAUACUAGUUGUCUUCACUAGGCAUCUUCGUUCCAGUUCACUAACAAUCUGCAGAGGCGAGAGUUCUGACCCAACCGCUAUCCAACAUUUUCUCAGAUCAUCAAAGUUGAUGUUCCAAUCUUCUGGAAACGCAGCCACAUAGAGAAAGCACUCUUGCAGCUUUUCAUCCUUAUUAAAGCGUCCCAGCUCGUCAUAGCUAAACUUCAAGCGCUGGAACAUCCGCUUCUCAAUGUCCCCGUCAUUCAACAAAUGCAUCUUCUGAUAGCGUUCUUUCCACACCUGUGGCCCCUCAUUCCUGUAGACAGCCAUGGCACUGCCAAUCACUUCAAGAGCUAGAGGGAGCCCCUCACAUUUGCUAGCUAUUCUCUCGGCAACUUUCACAAUGUCCGGAUCACUAGGUCGUGAAUCACGAAAGGCAAACUUCCAAAACAUCUUUUCGCUCUCGGCCUUUGAUAGCAUACACACACGAAAUGUUUUUGCACCCAGCAUGCUCAAAAUGUCUUCCUUUCUGGUUGUUACCAGCACCCGGCUGUAAGAGGACGACCCUGCCAUAAAAUCCAGUCUCUCGGCCCAGCUCAUGUCCCACACAUCAUCCAGUAUCAGCAAGACACAAAUUCCACGAGCAACAUUUUGUGCCAAGUGCUGCACAUGCUCAAGGGUGCCUGCAUUUUGGGCCCUCUCUUUCAUGCCGCCCCAUUCAAGAGCGUUGAGGAGCUGGGCCCUGAGAUCAUCCUCCGAUGCAUCUUUCUUGACAGUAAUCCACACAAUGUUGUCAUGGAAAUGCUGGCGGACCCUCUGGUCAUUGUUCACGAAUCUUGCAAGGGUGGUCUUGCCACACCCUCCCAUUCCCAGGAGUCCAAACCAUUUCCCCGGGGCUUGUGGAUCCAGGAGGGCAUUCACCACCUCAUCCACCUGCUCCCCAUGGCGGCCAAACAUGUCGCUGGGCUCGGGAACACCAUGCCGUACAUACUUUACGAGACCUCUGUCUUGUGGACAGCUCCGUACGGAAAAGCUGGUGCUCGGCUGUAUCACUCUCAACUCUUCUCGCUCGUACCUUUCAAUGUGCGGGAGGAGAUCGUUCUCGCAAGUGCGUACCAGCUCCGAAAUCGCGCCAGAUCGCUUCUCCCUGCGCGACAGAUCCAUCUUUUAGCUCCAUUGCUUCAAACAUGAAUUCGAAUAAGCCUUACUGUGAUCCAAGCAGCGCUUGCGCCGUCUUAGUCCAUUCAGUCAGUUCAGUCAGCCACGCCUCAGCCUCACCAGAGUAGCGGAAAUCUGGAUUCCUGUGCUUGGGAGCAUUAAACUUGUCGAGCGUGGCCUGGAUUCUGGAUGCCCUCUUCUUUAGCUCCUCAAUGUGGACAUUCAGCUCAUGCUCGUGACCUUGGAUCUGCGACAGGAGAUCGUCGUAGGCACUUAAGGACUUCGCGAUCUCGUUACUCCGCUUGUACCUAUAGGAAGUGGAGAAGUUCAACCAGCUGCCUGCCAUUUCUACACACACACACACACACAAAAGAUAAAAUGCUACUGUACCGACCGCUUUAUGGGGCUCCAGAUCCUGUUGUGGCGUGAUCCCAAGAGUGCUUGUGCGUUGGUGUUCCAUUUCCUGACACGCUCCAAGCAUUCCUCGGCCGCUUGAGAGAACGUGAAGCCAGAAUUCUGCUGCUUGUGAUCACUGAAAGCGUUGAUCUUGGCCUGGAUGUGGUGCGCCUUGUUCUCCAGCGUUUCAAUGUUGGCAUUGCAGUCCCAUAUCUUCUUAGCAGGGGCCAGAGCCAAGCCACACAAGACGCUUGUCAAGGAGCCCACAACCUCCAUGGCUGUAGACCUACAAGUAAAGGUUGUCUCCCUCCCAGAAAGAAGCGCAAUAUUAACUCUUGACCUUGUAGAUCGGAAUUCUUCACUUUUUUCACAGCUGUGACUCACUCACUCUAAGAGAUUCACAGUGAGCACCGCAACGAUCGCUACAUCGCUCGCAAGAAACACCUCUAUUUGUCCAAACAGACAAAGGUGAAGUACUUUUAAGACGCCCGAGAAGAACAUCGUCUUUUCUCUUGUACGGCGUUGAUCCAGGCGUACGGGAAUAGAGGGCUCCUCUGCCGAUCUUUGAUGGGAUCCGGGCGAUCUUGUCACCGACGUCUUGAAAGAUCUUAGAUUCUAUCCGCAAUCGCCCAGUCAAUGCGAUCCUGGCGAUGGGUGCUCCAUAUCAUUCUAUUCCCGCCCGGACGUGAUCUCCAGGAUUUGCGAAGAAGAAGCUCUUCGAUCAGAUGCGCGAUGCUGGCGCGCAAUUGAUUGGAGCUUCCCGCUACAUUUUCCCGCGCUAUCGUCUCUACUUCUCCAUUCUAGGGUUCUUUCUUGGAGGCGACGUAGGUUUUCUAUUGCCCGCGUGGUCGAGGAGACGGCGCUGGGGGGCGGCCUUGAUCGGCGUUCUGGAGCUGCCCCUGCAAAAGCUGAGGCUUCUAGGACAGCAAAAAUUGCCGAGGUGAGCAAUGAUAGUGGAGCAGAGGAUUUAUAUGAUUCGGGAGUAGAAAGUGGAGCAAUCGAUGGUGAGGAAGAAGAGGUAAACAAGAUUAUGGCUGGAGGAGGAAACGAUGCUGAGGUGGAAAGAACAACAGUGGUCGAGAGCUCCAUUGAGACUGUCAGGAAACAUGGCGAAGCUGUUUCUACUUUCAAUCAGAGGUAGUGCCUUGACCCACGGUAAUCCCGUUAAGAUGGAAGCUGGUUGUGGUUCCGUGAAAGCUGAAGCUUCGGUUUCGAUCGCAGCUGGAUGUGAUCCUAUGAAAGUAGAUGGCUUGGUGAAGAUGGAAGCUGGUUUUGAGUCUGCAAGAGUCGAAGCCCCGGUUGGCUCGGUGAAGAUGGAACCUGGUUAUCAUACUGUGAAAGUUGAAACUCCAUUCGGGGGUGGUAAAGCUGCCCAUUUGUCUGAAGCGAAGGUGGUUCCAAUAGAAAAUGACACGGCUAAAGCUGCAGAAAAGCAACCGGUUGUUUUAGAUGCAGAGAGGUGGUGGCUUCUCCAAGAGACUGAAGUUGCCGGGUACUCGACGUCCAGGGGAUGCCGGAUUCGUGUUGGCGAGUUCGUGUCCUUCAAUUUUCCCAAGCCUGAAGCCGAAAGUAAGAAGAAGUUCUUUGAGCACAAGAGGGUUCGGCCGAAAGCGAGCUCCGACAUUGUAAGGUUCUUGACAAAAGCUUCAGGAGAGGUACGUUUCACUUGACUUGUUUCUUCGUUUUACUUCUAACCAUUUGCUCACAGAUAGGACGGCUUCCAGCCGACUGGGCCAAGUGUUUGAUACCUUUGGGAAGUGCAAAAUGGCACCAGAGGCUCUUUCUCUUAUGAGCAGCAUAGUUCUCCAUUUGAGGUAGAGUUUCUGUGUUUACCAGAGACGUUACGUAUAUGAUGUGCUUGUGUUUAUAUCAACAAGUCAGAAGCCUUACGAGGAGGGGGUUGAGCGCGGAUUGAAGCUUCUGCAAGCUAUCUUGAAGCCGUUAAUGCUUCGAAGAAAAAAAGAUUCAACUGAUAAAGAAGAAAGGUAAGCAUUUUUUUCUUUGCACCGUGCCUUGUCUUGUAUUCACUCACAAGUUGGAUUCACAGACCAAUUCCUGUUCUCCAACCGGCUCAAUGUGAAGUUAUUGAAUGCAAACUAUCUGAGCCUGAAUGCCCUUUACCACAGAUCUAAGGCAUGAAGAACUUCUCUUUCUUUUAUUUUCUCGUUUUUUCUGAACACGUUUUUGCUUUUGUGAUCAGGUAAAAUUCGAUCAGUUCGUUGAACAAGGUAAAGUUCUCCAUAACUAUGCCUCGAUCCUCGAACUGCUACUUCGAUUACGGCAAGCUUGUGAUCAUCCUUUUCUUGUUCUGAGGUAGAAAAUGCAUCCUCUUAUGUCUGAAGUUCCUGACGUUUUCUUCGUCACGCAGCCGUGGCGAUACUGAAGACUUUGCGGACCUGGGAAAGCUGGCUAGACGUUUCUUGGACAAGAAUUCCUCCCAGGUGCCUUCGACGGCUAUGUCAAAGAGGUGGUGGAUGAUAUUCGUAAAGGAGAAAGUGCUGAGUGCCCAAUUUGUUUGGAGAUGCACGCAGUUCUCACACCAUGCGCUCAUUGAAUGUGAGCGCCGGAGGUCCCUGUCCAAUAUCCGAGGUAACAUAUUGUUUUUUUUCUCGAGCUCUUUUCCAUAUCCAUAGCUAUCAUGCAGGCGUUCCUGUACGAAAUAGGAACUCAUAACUGUACCAACAAGUAAUCGGUUUCGAAUAAAUGUCGAGGAGCAGUGGAAGGAGUCGUCCAAAGUCGAGGCUCUGCUGCACCACCUCCAGACGUUAAGUGAGGCCGGGUCGAAAAGCGUUGUUUUUAGUCAGUGGACAGCGUUUCUCGACUUGUUAGAGAUACCAUUGAAAAGGUACGAGCGUCUUUCCUUUUGGUGCUUUCUCUUUGUUUGUGUUUCUAACAAUGCACUGCCAGGAAGAACUUCUGUUUCGUCCGCUUGGACGGAACACUAUCGCAGCGUCAGCGAGAACAAGUGCUCAAAAACUUCAGCAAUAUUCCAGCCGUGGCCGUAAGCUUUUCGUGUUGCUUACCUCCAAGAAACCACUCUAUUUUGUGGACAGGUCAUGCUCAUGCUUUUCUCAUGGUAUGCGCUAUAGUUAUCUUUUUUAGCCAUCUUCCGAGUCGAGCAUCGGUCAGACGAAGAACGUAUCGAUCAAGCGAUUCAUCGUCAAAGUAAGCGCCAGUUGAAACUCUCUUUGACGUUUCUCAUGUCUCUAGAGGCGAGACAUGAGACAGAAGAACUGGAACAUAGUUAAAGAGGGGAAUAUGCUUCUAGCAUCGGCGCGUAGAUAGUUCAUAGGCUAUGGAUAUAGGAGCUUUGGCUAGGUUACAAGCAUUUCUAGGUUUCUUCGCGGCUAUGGCGGACAGCGAAGGAGCAGGCGAUCGCGUCGCAAGCGCGUUUGAUUCCGGCAGCAUCGGCGACGAGCAAGGUAUGCAUGCUAGGAUCGCCUCGAGAAGCAGCAGCAGCGCCGGCGCCGGCGCCGCGCCGCGAUUUCGCUGGCCUAGAGCCGAGUAUGAUCUCUAGGAAAUUGAGCUGAACGCUGAGGCUUUGCAGGCGAUCGCGUUGAUUCCUCUCGUCUCCGCGGCCGGGGCGGCUAGAAAGCCGGGGCGCAUUCUAGAGUUUCGGGGUUUCUGGGGCGAUCAGUCAUGUAGCGGGCAGUGAUUCUCUCACAGGGAGCUGGAAGUCAGCCAUGACGUGGAAUCCGCCACAAGUUCCUCCCAGCUUGUCCGCCUUGACUGCCACUACUCAGGCCGACGAUGAACUGGGCGUGGAUGUGUCGUCUCCCAGCGGCGAUUUGCUACUCCAAUUUCUCAAGAGUGGUGGGGGCGACGAUUAGCUGAGGAGCAGUAGCAGCUACAGGACCCAGCAGUCGCAGCUCACGGUCCCUGCCACAGCUUUGCUCCUUCUGGAGGAGGAGGAGAAGGUCCUCCUCCACGACCACUCUACGUCCCAGCAACAAGAUUUGGUGGGUGGUCACCUCACUUCCAGCGGCACCAAAACCCACUUUUCCCUUCGGAUCCAUUCUUGACUCCGUCGGACCACUGAUUUCUACGCUCGUUUGCUCCUCUUCCAGUCGAGAGACCGUUCCAUCCGCCAGUGCCGUAUCCUUUUCCAAAUGCUCCGACUUUCCAGCCUGCUGAUAAUGUGGUUCAUCCGCCGCAUUCCUCUGGGGAGCUUAAAGCUCGUCCUGGCCUUCACUUCGAGUCUCCGGUGUUUGGACCCAGCACAGCAGAGACCUCGGACUCCAAGCGCGCCCCAGAGCAGCCGAGGAGAUCGGUUACACCUGCGAAGGAUGACAAGCAACAAUUCCACGGCAAUGGUUCCGAGCUCCUUCAGUUGUUACAGGGUGGUCCUGGUCGUGUGAAGCCCACAGCCUCCACAAAGGUGGAUGCUACACGGGACAGUGGGGAUUCUGGAGAGCCAUCAAAGAAAGGAAGUCCAUCUGCUGUUCACGGCCCCAUAGGACCGCCGAGGCGUCAUGUCGUUUCUCCUCCGCAGAGUCCAAAUGACCUCCUUGGACGUUUGUGGGCUGCUCUUCCGUCGUCAAGCCACACUUUGUUUGACGGAGAAAGCGAACGCAAGACGUCAGCCCGGAGCUUUGGCGUUGAAGUGAACGAGAUGUCCCGGGAAGUCGAUGGAGGUGGAGCUGCUGGUUUCGCACUUUUGAAGCGAAGGGGAUCGGAGCCUGCCGCCUCGCACUACCUUUAAACGACUACGACUAUAACGACUCUAAGACAAAUGAUAAGCCGAGGACAAACUCAGCAUCCGGAAGAGUAUCGUGGGAGAUACGUAAAUGGAGAGGCCGAAUUUGAGCCCGGAGGCGAUGACUUUAGAGGUGCGGGAAGGCGUCGAGGUCCCGGUCGUGCAGACGCCAGACGCGGUGGUCGGGGUGCUGUUGGCCAGUGGAUUGCGGUAAAUGAGAGGCAUAAAGAUGCUGAGCCAAGACAUCACCUCCUGCGAUAUCUCUGAUGGAAGGGACGAGUCGCUUAAAUCUUCAAACGGGACUUAGUCGAAUGCUAGGAGAAAACAUCAACAGGAAUGGAGGAUCCGGACUACAAGGUUGCAAAGGCACGGUCUUUGGCAUCUCAACUUGAACGUCCAGGCUUGCCAUCGGGAAGUACGCAAAACUCUUCCGUUGGCGCGGCUUUUGAGGAGUCCAAACAGAGGCUCCAUAAUCUAGAUGCUUUGGAAGGAGAAGGCGUGACGACCUCUCUAGAUCUCGAGGAGCUACAAAUUGACGGUCACCGUCGUGAGGGUAAAGCUCCACAGUUUUACAAGGUUUGUGCUUGCUUUUUUUCUUUCUCUAUUUUCAUGUGUUUGUAUCUCUGGUUACAGCCGAAGGAGAACCGUUUCAGGACCUCUGAAGAACUAAAGGUAUGCAUAUGCAUAUUCUUAAUAUUGUUAUGUUUUCCAUGUUUUACCAUUUACUCUAUACACCAGAUUUUAAAAUACUCAAAACCACGAGAGUAAAGUAAUAUCCUGAGAAUACGAUUUGUAAGAAAAACAGAAACUGUGUCUUCUCCAAACGCUGCUGACGGCUUGGAAAUCUCUGUUUUUGUUUUUUGAGUGAUGCAAAAUGGUGUAGCAUUUGCGCAGAUCUUCAAAAACCCAAUCGAUGUCCACUGAAGGAGCAAGGUUUAAUCCCUGAAUUUUAUCUGGAGAUCCGGCCGCUCCUCAAGCCAUGGUGGAACUUUCGUACCUUUUUGGCAGCGUAGGUCUUUGAGCCUGGGAAAUAAGCCAAGGCCGUGAUUGUCUGAACUCAAUUGGGACCACACUACAUCAUCAUGAUCAGAGAGCACAAGUUCCUCCAAUCCGGGAAGGGAUGCAAUGGAUGAUGGAAUAUUUUCGAUCCUAUUCAAGGUUACAUCUCUUAGAGCAGUCAUCUGGUCUGUUGGCUCAAAGAAAUCAUUGGGGAGCUGCCUCAUACAGCCCUUCCGCAAAGAUAAUGCGAACCGUUUCACCUUCAGCUGUGAUCUCUCGGUUGGCAUCAAGAGUCUCCUCAUGUAACCUUCUACUCUCAGUUCAUCAAGGUCUUUGGGGAGUUGUGUCACAAAGAGAGGCAAAUGCUCCCAUGUAUUAUCAGGAGCCAGAUAGAAUCUUAACCACUUCAGGUUUGGAAGACUUGCUGUGAACUCGGACUGUGCAAUGUGUAGAUUUUGAAGGCCCAGAACUUCAAGGCAUGGGAACGAUCCAUCCAGACUGAAGAACUGGAUACCACUGCAGUCUAGGUGAAGUACUUGUAGCCGUUGAAAGCCCUUUAGCCAAGACAGGUCUUUCAUUGUCUCAUUGUUUGUGAUCCUUAAAUAUUGUAGCUGUAGCCAUUCGAGGCUUUCGGCAUUGUUUUCACCGUCUUGUACCCCGUCAAUCGAAAAGAGCUGAAGCUGUUUGGAAUUCUUAAACAUUCGCUUCCAGUCAAGUUUGAUAGUCGAUUGCACGCUAAUGUGACAUCGUCUUAGAUUGACAAGUUGCCACGGGCCGGUGAAAUCGCCAAAGUCCAUGCUCUUUGCACGCAACUCCAGUGUCUCAAUGUCCACUAGUGCACCAAGGUUGUGAGGUAUUUUUAUUGUUGCACCUUUGAAGUCUAGCUUUAAAUCUCUUAGCUUGUGUAGGCUUGAAAUUCCACUCAAAUCCAUAGCCACAGCUAACUCCUUACAAGAUUCAAGCUCCAGACGUUUGAGGCAUGGGAACGAUCCAUCCAGACUGAAGAACUGGAUACCACUGCAGUCUAGGUGAAGGUCUCGUAGCCGUUGAAAGCCCUUUAGCCAAGACAGGUCUUUCAUUGUCUCAUUGUUUAUGAUCGUUAAAAGUUGUAGCUGUGGCCAUUCAAGGCUUUCGGCAUUGUUUUCACCGUCUUGUACCCCGUCAAUGGUAAAGUCCUGAAGCUGUUUGGAAUUCUUAAACAUUCGCUUGCAGUCAAGUUUGAUAGUCGAUCCCACCCUAAUCUGACAUCGUCUUAGAUUGACAAGUUGCCACGGGCCGGUGAAAUCGCCAAAGUCCAUGCUCUUUGCCCACAACUCCAGUGUCUCAAUGUCCUCUAGUGCACCAAGGCCGUGAGGUAUUUUUAUUGUUGCACCUUUGAAGUCUAGCUUUAAAUCUCUUAGCUUGUGUAGGCUUGAAAUUCCACUCAAAUCCACAGCUAACUCCUCAAAGGAAUAAAGCUCCAGCUCUUCCAAGUUGAAUAAUUGGGGCACUAAUCCAAAGUUGAGAUUUCUGGUAGCCUUGCAUUUCAAAACCUUCAGUGAUGUCAAGCUGAAGAGCGCAUCUGGUAAUAUUGUCACACUUGAUGGUACAAGGCACAUCUCUCGAAGGUCAAGCACUUGAAGGUUUCUCAGCUUGGAUAUGCUCUCUGGAAUAAAAGGGACCAAAUUAUCGCAUCCCUUGAAGCUCAAUACCUUGACAUUUUGGAUGUGAUCUAUAAUAAGACUGACAUCCACACCAGAAAUUUCAUGACAUCCAUCGAGAAGCAAGACAUCUCGCACAUGAAUGUCAGACAAAAGGCUGCUUGUAACCUUCUUUCCAAUGAAUGAAACUUUAGAAAAUGUUGGAGAAAUCCCAGGUGGACAAUCAUAGCCAAACAGGCAUCCCUUCUCGUGCUCUUCCUGGGGUGGGUACUUCCCUUUCAAGAUUCUUAUGCACAGCUUGCGUACCAUAUCGUGCACAGUUACAGACUUUUCCCGAAGUCUUUUCCCACUUAAAUAUGUCUUCACUAGGCAUCUUCGUUUCAGUUCACUAACAAUCUGCAGAGGCGAGAGUUCUGACCCAACCGCUAUCCAACAUUUUCUCAGAUCAUCAAAGUCGAUUUGCUCAUCUUCUGGAAACGCAGCCACAUAGAGAAAGCACUCUUGCAGCUUUUCAUCCUUAUUAAAGCGUCCCAGCUCGUCAUAGCUAAACUUCAAGCGCUGGAACAUCCGCUUCUCAAUGUCCCCGUCAUUCAACAAAUGCAUCUUCUGAUAGCGUUCUUUCCACACCUGUGGCCCCUCAUUCCUGUAGACAGCCAUGGCACUGCCAAUCACUUCAAGAGCUAAAGGGAGCCCCUCACAUUUGCUAGCUAUUCUCUCGGCAACUUUCACAAUGUCCGGAUCACUAGGUAGUGAAUCAUAAAAGGCAAACUUCCAAAACAUCUUUUUGCUCUCGUCCUCUGAUAGCUUAUGCACAGGAAAUACCUUUGCACCCAGCUUGCUCAAAAUGUCUUCCUUUCUGGUUGUUACCAGCACCCGGCUGUAAGAGGACAGCCCUGCUAUAAAAUCCAGUCCCUUGGCCAAGCUCAUCUCCCACACAUCAUCCAGUAUCAGCAAGACACGAAUUCCACGAGCAACAUUUUGUGCCAAGUGCUGCACAUGCUCAAGGGUGCCUGCAUUUUGGGCCCUCUCUUUCAUGCCGCCCCAGUCAAGAGCGUUGAGGAGCUGGGCCCUGAGAUCAUCCUCCGAUGCAUCUUUCUUGACAGUGAUCCAUACAAUGUUGUCAUGGAAAUGCUGCCGGACCCUCUGGUCAUUGUGCACGAAGCUUGCAAGGGUGGUCUUGCCACACCCUCCCAUUCCCAGGAGUCCAAACCAUUUCCCCGGGGCUUGUGGAUCCAGGAGGGCAUUCACCACCUCAUCCAGCUGCUCCCCAUGGCGGCCAAACAUGUCGUUGGCCUCGGGAACACCAUGCCGUACAUAGUUUACGAGACCUCUGUCUUGUGGACAACUCCGUACGGAAAAGCUGGUGCUCGGCUGUAUCCCUCUCAACUCUCGCUCGUACCUUUCAAUGUGCGGGAGGAGAUCGUUCUCGCAAGUGCGUACCAGCUCCGAAAUCGCGCCAGAUCGCUUCUCCCUGCGCGACAGAUCCAUCUUUUAGCUCCAUUGCUUCAAACAUGAAUUCGAAUAAGCCUUACUGUGAUCCAAGCAGCGCUUGCGCCUUCUUAGUCCAUUCAGUCAGUUCAGUCAGCCACGCCUCAGCCUCACCAGAGUAGCGGAAAUCUGGAUUCCUGUGCUUGGGAGCAUUAAACUUGUCAAGCGUGGCCUGGAUUCUGGAUGCCCUCUUCUUUAGCUCCUCAAUGUGGACAUUCAGCUCAUGCUCGUGACCUUGGAUCUGCGACAGGAGAUCGCCGUAGGCACUUAAGGACUUCGCGAUCUCGUUACUCCGCUUGUACCUAUAGGAAGUGGAGAAGUUCAACCAGCUGCCUGCCAUUUCUACACACACACACACAAAAGAUAAAAUGCUACUGUACCGACCGCUUUAUGGGGCUCCAGAUCCUGUUGUGGCGUGAUCCCAAGAGUGCUUGUGCCGUGGUGUUCCAUUUCCUGACACGCUCCAAGCAUUCCUCGGCCGCUUGAGAGAACGUGAAGCCAGGAUUCUGCUGCUUGUGAUCACUGAAAGCGUUGAUCUUGUGCCGGAUGUGGGGCGCCUUGUUCUCCAGCGUUUCAAUGUUGGCAUUGCAGUCCCAUAUCUUCUUAGCAGGGCGCAGAGCCAAGCCACACAAGGCGCUUGCCAAGGAGCCCACAACCUCCAUGCCUGUAGACCUACAAGUCAAGGUCGUUUCCCUCUUGCAAUGCCAGCUGUGGCUCUCUAUCUCUCUCUCUCUCUCAUACACAAAAUAGCUGGGAGGCCUUGACAGAUUUUCGAUGGCCUGCACAAACCAAACCAGUUCUCGUGGAACAUCUUGCUGCGAACGUAUGUUGCAAAUCGUAGGAUGCCCCCGAUUCCAUGGGAACAGGUUUAUGGAUGAGGAAAAGAAGCUGUUUGAUUCGAUCGCUUCUCGUGAAAUAUUAUGAUCAAGGGGCUCGACUUCGCAAAGAGGAAAGAUGCUAUCUCUUCUGGCAGCACCUGCUCGAAUAAGGCAUUUGGAAGAAGCAAAAACUCUCCUUUUAAUGCGAUGCCUCGGAGGAAAAACGUGCUUGCAAGAAACACAAUGAUUGUCAACCAUACGCUCUCAAAGAGCCUAUUUGACCAGAGCCAUACAGGAAUCUUGUGUCUUGGGCAGGCAUGCUACAACGCAUCUUUAAAUGAAGGUGGAAGUUGCAACUUCGAUGAUGCCGAACUAAAACUCUCUCUCAUAACUCUGGCUCUCUCUCUCUCUCUCUCUCUCAAUAAUAACGUUUUGAGCAGCUGUUCUUCCAUCCAGGCAUUUGCUGUAUUCGUUCAUCUUUGCAUAAACCCCAGCGACCUUCACAACAUAAGAGCUAGAGUGAUUCACGGUGAGCACUGCAACGAUUGCUACCUCGCCAAUCUCAUCGUCCAAAAGUAUGGGGGGCUGUGGGGUACUCGACAGAUGUUCACUGGAACAUCUUUCUGGGAAAAAUCGGUUGAGCGGAGAUCCAAGAGCGAUGUGGUCGCAUGGAACUUGAUCCUCGCAGCGUAUGCCUAAAACGCUCAGUCUAAAGAGAUGUUUCUUUAGAAAAACAAUGAUCAUUCUUUGUUUUACGAGCACGCAAAGUACUUGUGUCUGAGAGUAUGAGCAUCGUCUUGUCUCUUGUACGGCGUUGAUGCAGGCGUUUUGAAAUAUAUGGCUCCUCUGCCGAUCUUUGAUGGGAUCAUGGCGAUCUUGUCACCGACGUCUUGAAAGAUCUUAGAUACUAUCCACGAUCGCCCAGUCGCCUCCUCGAACGCGAUCAUGGCGAUGGGUGCUGCAUAUCAUUCUAUUCCCACCCGGACGUGAUCUGCAAUUAUCGUCUUUACUUCUCCAUUCUAGGGUUCUUUCUUGGAGGGGAUUUAGGUUUUUAAUUGCCCGCGUGAUCGAUGCGGCUUGCCGGCGGAGAAGGCUCAGAAAUCCCCAUUACCUUGUGCAGCUCCAGAACGCCGAUCAAGGCCGCCCCCAGCGCCGUCUCCUUGACAACGAAAGCUUUCGGGCCGUGCGGGAUGUCCUUGGCAGCGAUGUCUGCGACAUGGAUCUCGUCCACGCGCUACACUUGGCGAGGAACGAUUUGCAAGUGGCCGUGCUCGACACUCCGGGUUUUAGAAAUAGGAAGAGGCUCCAGGCGAGGAACGAUUUGCAAGUGGCCGCCCACAUUGUGCUCGACACUCCUGCAAAAAACUCCUGCAAAAGCUGAGGCUUCUAGGACAGCAAAAAUUUCCGAGGUGAGCAAUGAUAGUGGAGCAGAGGAUUUAUAUGAUUCGGGAGUAGAAAGUGGAGCAAUCGAUGGUGGGGAAGAAGAGGUAAACAAGAUUAUGACUGGAGGAGGAAACGAUGCCGAGGUGGAAAGAACAACAGUGGUGGAGAGCUCCAUUGAGACUGUCAGGAAACAUGGCGAGGCUGUUUCUAGCGCCUUAGCUGGACUUUCAAUCAGAGGUAGUGCCUUGACCCACGGUAAUCCCGUUAAGAUGGAAGCUGGCUGUGAUUCCGUGAAAGCUGAAGCUUCGGUUUCGAUCGCAGCUGGAUGUGAUCCUACGAAAGUAGAUGGCUUGGUGAAGAUGGAAGCUGGUUGUUUUAGAUGCAGAGAGGUGGUGGCUUCUCCAAGAGACUGAAGUUGCCGGGUACUCGACGUCCAGGGGAUGCCGGAUUCGAGUUGGCGAGUUCGUGUCCUUCAAUUUUCCCAAGCCUGAAGCCGAAAGUAAGAAGAAGUUCUUUGAGCACAAGAAGGUUCGGCCGAAAGCAAGCUCCGACAUUGUAAGGUUCUUGACAAAAGCUUCAGGAGAGGUACGUUUCACUUGACUUGUUUCUUCGUUUUAAUUCUAACCAUUUGCUCACAGAGAGGACGGCUUCCAGCCGACUGGUGAUACCUUUGGGAAGUGCAAAAUGGCACCAGAGGCUCUUUCUCUUAUGAGCAGCAUAGUUCUCCAUUUGAGGUAGAGUUUUCUGUGUUUACCAGAGACGUUACGUAUAUGAUGUGCUUGCAGAGUUUAAAGCCUUACGAGGAGGGGGAUGAGCGCGGAUUGAAGCUUCUGCAAGCUAUCUUGAAGCCGUUAAUGCUUCGAAGAAAAAAAGAUUCAACUGAUAAAGAAGAAAGGUAAGCAUUUUUUUCUUUGCACCGUGCCUUGUCUUGUAUUCACUCACAAGUUGGAUUCACAGACCAAUUCCUGUUCUCCAACCGGCUCAAUGUGAAGUUAUUGAAUGCAAACUAUCUGAGCCUGAAUGCCCUUUACCACAGAUCUAAGGCAUGAAGAACUUCUCUUUCUUUUAUUUUCUCGUUUUUUCUGAACACGUUUUUGCUUUUGUGAUCAGGUAAAAUUCGAUCAGUUCGUUGAACAAGGUAAAGUUCUCCAUAACUAUGCCUCGAUCCUCGAACUGCUACUUCGAUUACGGCAAGCUUGUGAUCAUCCUUUUCUUGUUCUGAGGUAGAAAAUGCAUCCUCUUAUGUCUGAAGUUCCUGACGUUUUCUUCGUCACGCAGCCGUGGCGAUACUGAAGACUUUGCGGACCUGGGAAAGCUGGCUAGACGUUUCUUGGACAAGAAUUCCUCCCAGGUGCCUUCGACGGCUAUGUCAAAGAGGUGGUGGAUGAUAUUCGUAAAGGAGAAAGUGCUGAGUGCCCAAUUUGUUUGGAGAUGCACGCAGUUCUUACACCAUGCGCUCAUUGAAUGUGAGCGCCGGAGGUCCCUGUCCAAUAUCCGAGGUAACAUAUUGUUUUUUUUCUCGAGCUCUUUUCCAUAUCCAUAGCUAUCAUGCAGGCGUUCCUGUACGAAAUAGGAACUCAUAACUGUACCAACAAGUAAUCGGUUUCGAAUAAAUGUCGAGGAGCAGUGGAAGGAGUCGUCCAAAGUCGAGGCUCUGCUGCACCACCUCCAGACGUUAAGUGAGGCCGGGUCGAAAAGCGUUGUUUUUAGUCAGUGGACAGCGUUUCUCGACUUGUUAGAGAUACCAUUGAAAAGGUACGAGCGUCUUUCCUUUUGGUGCUUUCUCUUUGUUUGUGUUUCUAACAAUGCACUGCCAGGAAGAACUUCUGUUUCGUCCGCUUGGACGGAACACUAUCGCAGCGUCAGCGAGAACAAGUGCUCAAAAACUUCAGCAAUAUUCCAGCCGUGGCCGUAAGCUUUUCGUGUUGCUUACCUCCAAGAAACCACUCUAUUUUGUGGACAGGUCAUGCUCAUGCUUUUCUCAUGGUAUGCGCUAUAGUUAUCUUUUUUAGCCAUCUUCCGAGUCGAGCAUCGGUCAGACGAAGAACGUAUCGAUCAAGCGAUUCAUCGUCAAAGUAAGCGCCAGUUGAAACUCUCUUUGACGUUUCUCAUGUCUCUAGAGCAGGACUCGGUGGAGGAGAGAAUGCAACAGGUCCAAGCGAGGAAGCAGCGAUUGAUCGCGGGGGCUCUCACAGACGAAGAGGUGCGAAGCGCUCGAAUCGAGGAGCUCAAAAUGCUAUUUAGAUGAGAAGAACUGGAACAUAGUUAAAGAGGGGAAUAUUAAAGAGGGGAAUAUGCUUCUAGCAUCGGCGCGUAGAUAGUUCAUAGGCUAUGGAUAUAGGAGCUUUGGCUAGGUUACAAGCAUUUCUAGGUUUCUUCGCGGCUAUGGCGGACAGCGAAGGAGCAGGCGAUCGCGUCGCAAGCGCGUUUGAUUCCGGCAGCAUCGGCGACGAGCAAGGUAUGCAUGCUAGGAUCGCCUCGAGAAGCAGCAGCAGCGCCGGCGCCGGCGCCGCGCCGCGAUUUCGCUGGCCUAGAGCCGAGUAGCCGAUCUAGAUUCAUGCAAGCAUAUGAUCUCUAGGAAAUUGAGCUGAACGCUGAGGCUUUGCAGGCGAUCGCGUCGAUUCCUCUGGUCUCCGCGGCCGGGGCGGCUAGAAAGCCGGGGCGCAUUCUAGAGUUUCGGGGUUUCUGGGGCGAUCAGUCAUGUAGCGGGCAGUGAUUCUCUCACAGGGAGCUGGAAGUCAGCCAUGACGUGGAAUCCGCCACAAGUUCCUCCCAGCUUGUCCGCCUUGACUGCCACUACUCAGGCCGACGAUGAACUGGGCGUGGAUGUGUCGUCUCCCAGCGGCGAUUUGCUACUCCAAUUUCUCAAGAGUGGUGGGGGCGACGAGCAGCUGAGGAGCAGUAGCAGCUACAGGACCCAGCAGUCGCAGCUCACGGUCCCUGCCACAGCUUUGCUCCUUCUGGAGGAGGAGGAGAAGGUCCUCCUCCACGACCACUCUACGUCCCAGCAACAAGAUUUGGUGGGUGGUCACCUCACUUCCAGCGGCACCAAAACCCACUUUUCCCUUCGGAUCCAUUCUUGACUCCGUCGGACCACUGAUUUCGACGCUCGUUUGCUCCUCUUCCAGUCGAGAGACCGUUCCAUCCGCCAGUGCCGUAUCCUUCUCCAAAUGCUCCGACUUUCCAGCCUGCUGAUAAUGUGGUUCAUCCGCCGCAUUCCUCUGGGGAGCUUAAAGCUCGUCCUGGCCUUCACUUCGAGUCUCCGGUGUUUGGACCCAGCGCAGCAGAGACCUCGGACUCCAAGCGCGCCCCAGAGCAGCCGAGGAGAUCGGUUACACCUGCGAAGGAUGACAAGCAACAAUUCCACGGCAAUGGUUCCGAGCUCCUUCAGUUGUUACAGGGUGGUCCUGGUCGUGUGAAGCCCACAGCCUCCACAAAGGUGGAUGCUACACAGGACAGUGGGGAUUCUGGAGAGCCAUCAAAGAAAGGAAGUCCAUCUGCUGUUCACGGCCCCAUAGGACCGCCGAGGCGUCAUGUCGUUUCUCCUCCGCAGAGUCCAAAUGACCUCCUUGGACGUUUGUGGGCUGCUCUUCCGUCGUCAAGCCACACUUCGUUUGACGGAGAAAGCGAAUGCAAGACGUCAGCCCGGAGCUUUGGCGUUGAAGUGAACGAGAUGUCCCGGGAAGUCGAUGGAGGUGGAGCUGCUGGUUUCGCACUUUUGAAGCGAAGGGGAUCGGAGCCUGCCGCCUCGCACUACCUUUAAACGACUACGACUAUAACGACUCUUAAGACAAAUGAUAAGCCGAGGACAAACUCAGCAUCCGGAAGACUACAGGACUAUCGUGGGAGAUACGUAAAUGGAGAGGCCGAAUUUGAGCCCGGAGGCGAUGACUUUAGAGAUGCGGGAAGGCGUCGAGGUCCCGGUCGUGCAGACGCCAGACGCGGUGGUCGGGGUGCUGUUGGCCAGUGGAUUGCGGUAAGUGAGAGGCAUAAAGAUGCUGAGCCAAGUGACAUCACCUCCUGCGGUAUCUCUGAUGGAAGGGACGAGUCGCUUAAAUCUUGAAACGGGACUUAGUCGAAUGCUCGGAGAAAACAUCAACAGGAAUGGAGGAUAAAACAGGCCGACUCAAAGGCAGCAUUUCCAGCGGAGGAAAAACCGGACUACAAGGUUCCAAAGGCACGGUCUUUGGCAUCUCAACUUGAACGUCCAGGCUUGCCAUCGGGAAGUACGCAAAUCUCUUCCGUUGGUGCGGCUUUUGAGGAGUCCAAACAGCGGCUCCAUAAUCUAGAUGCUUUGGAAGGAGAAGGCGUGACGACCUCUCUAGAUCUCGAGGAGCUACAAAUUGACGGUCACCGUCGUGAGGGUAAAGCUCCACAGUUUACAAGGUUUGUGCUUGCUUUUUUUCUUUCUUUAUUUUCAUGUGUUUGUAUCUCUGGUUACAGCCGAAGGAGAACCGUUUCAGGGAGUCCAGACGCGUCAUUCCCAUGCACAGACGUGAUCUUCUUUACCGACUGGAUCUGCUGAGUUUCACUCGUGAGCUUUUCUGCCUCUACGACGAGCUUAUACCAACCGAAGAAGGGGAGGUCCGGAGAAGGAAGUUCUUCUCGAAGCUUAA